AUAUAUAUAUAUAUAUAUAUAUAUAUAUUUAUAUAUAUAUAUAAUAUACUAUAUGCAUUAUUUCCGCCUCUAGGCUGGCGUAGAACCCUGAAUCCAUUUUGGUCCCACGGGCGAAGAAACAAAAGCCUGCUCGAUUUCUUUCCUUCAAAUCUUUCCUGCGAGCUUGCAAUCCCUCUUCUUGUAUUCAGCGGGUUUGAGGAAGUUCUUUUAUUUCUAGGGUUUUGGUCCGAUCAGUCGGUGGUGACCGCGGUGGCGGCUGUGGCGAGAUCCUCUGGAUUUUUGUGAUCAUGAGUGCGGUAAAUAUAACGAACGUCACGGUGCUGGAUAAUCCGACGGCGUUCCUUAGCCCGUUCCAGUUCGAGAUAUCUUACGAGUGCUUGGUUCCUCUGGAAGAUGGUAUGGUUCUCGACCGAAAAAAGAAAAACCUUAGACUUGAACAGGGGAAUGAAAGAUCCUACCUUGACUGUGGCUUCAUUACAAGUUUUGGCUUCGAUGCUUCUUUUGGUAUCAUACUGUUGUUUGUCAUGGAUUGACGAAUGAACUCUUUGAUGUCCUUUGGUUUUUCAUGUUUCUUUUUUGUUUUCUCUGGGUUCAAAGUGAAGGAUGAUUAGGGUUUAUAGAAAGAGCUUCACUUGAAACCGUAUAAUGGGUGUUGUAGUUGAACUUUGAGAUUUAGCUGAUGCUGAAUGUGGAAAUGGAGUGAGAAGAAAGAGGGAGGAGAAUCUAGGUAUUUUAUUUCGCUGUAUGUAUAUUGCAGAGUUCCCAACUUUGUUGUUUUUCUUAGAUUUACAGUGAUUUCCGGAUGUGACACAAGAGGGCAAGGUAGGAAGGAGGUGUUGGUAUAUCAAUGAUAAAGGAACGUGUAAAUUAUUUUCUUGUUAAUGCAAUUAAGGAAUCAUGAAGAUAUUAUGCUUCACAGAGGUCAAUUGUUAUCAUGCAUUCCAAGCAUGAUUUUGACAUAUUACGUAACUAUUCCUAUCGUCAAGCGGUCAUUUCCUUAUUUUACAUUUUUCUUUAAAAAAAUCCUCCUAAUGUAUGGAGCCAUGAGAUGUUUUUCUCAGAUUAUUGUAUUGGUUUAAAAAUAUCUUUUAGUGCAUGGUUAUGUGGUGGCUCUUAUAGGUUAGAGCAAAAUACCUACUCUGGAUACUAGUAGGUUUUAUAUGCAUGGUAAAAUUUCAACUUCAUUAUGGUGGUGUUCAGAUUUCCCCCUAUUCCUAAAUUAAGCUUGUAAGAUAGAAUUGAUAGGUACUUUGUACAAAACUUACAGGAAACUGAAAAACACACCUAAGAAGGCUCCUGCUGUUUGAUGUGUGUGAUUAGAUGUUGUGAAUAAGUUUAAGCUAUAACCAACAAACCAACAUAGGCUAUGAUAAGAAACUUUAUCCCAUCUUUGUGUGCCAUUAAUGCAUCCUACUAGAGUUUCUUUUUUAUGUCUGAAUCAGUGGACUUCAAGCUUUCAAAACAAAAGAAUGAUGGUUUGAUGCAUCAAACUCUGCCAAUGCAUCAUUUAGCAGGGAGGGUCAACAUGCAACGUCAUUAAUGCAAUUAUGCAAGUAGGGAUGUUAUUUUCAUGACUUAAGCUCUGGUCACUUAAGUCGUAAAUGAGUAACAUCACCAUAAUGCCAAAGCUUGCCCUCUCAAAUACAUUUGAAGCUUUUGACAUAAUGCAAUCAACAAAACCAUUGUUUUAAUAUAUAUCACCGGGAGUUGAAAGAGUGAAGGUUUGUUAGUCUCAUUAUGCUUUUCUAACAGUUUGCACUUUGUCUACCGUUAUUAUAAGGUCCUGUUGUACUUUCCGUACCACAUGAACCCUUUGCAUAUUCAUACUAACAAACGAGCUUAUUGAACAUAAGAUUGAAGCAGAACACAUGACAUUAGAGAAAGAUUUUGGUGAGAUCAUGUUGUCGUUGAAUGGUAAAUAAGAAACUCAACAAUAAUUAUAUUUUACGCAUUAAAAUAUCAAAUUGAUUCAGUUUGACUUUUGUUAUACAGUUUAAAGUACAUUAGUCAUAUGGUUCAAUCGUUCUGAUACUAUAUUGAUAGUUUAUAAUUAACAUCAAUAGUUAUGAGUAAGAGUAACCAUCUAGUUGUUAUCAAUUUCUAUAGCUUGCAAGGUGCUAGAUAAAAGUUUCUUACUAUUUUGGAGUUCAAAAUUAUUGUAGGUCAGAAAAUUGCAUUCUGGUAGUGGUUGUGGACAAUCUGACAUAUAUUAUCUGAAUUAAACACUGCUAAUUAUUGUUAUUUUUCUCACUAUUCGGUGAUGGAAUUCAGAUUAGUUUCUUAUUUUUCUCACAUGUUGUCAAUGACUAGUUAUUUACUUGUCUAUCAUGUUCAGAAUCAAUAGUUUUGUCAAUCUCUGCCUCGAUUACCUGAUUAUAUCAAUUGUGCCAUGUUCUACACCUAGUUGCUCAAGUAGUCUGAGUGGUAUUUAUCCAUUGAUCCCAAGAUUCUGAGUGACUUUUGUUUCACAACUAAUAGUGACUGACAGAAUUGGCUUGGCUCCCCUUCUAAGAAAAGUUGAAUGUGGCAUUGAUCAUGGUCAUUAACGCCUUGGUGACUAUUGCAAUAAAAAAAAUGGCCAUGGUGACCUUUUCAAUAGGAAAUUGGUGCCACAUGGAUACAGGCACAAGCCCCAGCUAGUGGAAAGUCUGUGAUCAAUUCAGUUUUGAUGGUCAGUGCAGCAGUUCAGGUUGCAUAACAUAGAAUGAAAGCGGUCUUGGGAACCCUUCAAUGUGGUGAUUCUUAAUAAAAUGGGUAGCUAAGAUGUGAACAUUUGUGUUAGUGACUUUUCCAAAAGCUAAAGUUUUGGUAAUUUCUAGCAUUCUUGAUCAAGCAUGUCGUUAUUUUAAUAUCAAUCUUCGUAUCUUGAGUGGGUGUUGUAUACGCACUUUACUUCUGAUAUCCUGAUUUUUUUUUUCCUUAGCAUCAGCAUUAAUAAUUAGUUUCUUGCUCAACUCUUCAGAUUUGGAGUGGAAACUCAUAUACGUUGGAUCAGCAGAAGAUGAAACUUAUGACCAGCUGCUUGAGAGUGUGCUUGUUGGUCCUGUCAAUGUUGGCAAUUAUCGCUUUGUUUUCCAGGCAAUUUCUGAGACUGAACUAAAAGUAGAGUGGUUCGUGCACAUGAUUUAAGAAAGUGACUUACUCCUUGUAUUCCAACUUUCAGGCAGAUCCACCAGAUCCAACCAAGAUUCGUGAAGAAGACAUCAUAGGCGUCACCGUGCUACUGUUGACAUGCUCCUACAUGGGGCAGGAGUUCAUCAGAGUGGGCUACUACGUGAACAACGACUACGAUGAUGAGCAGCUCAGAGAAGAACCUCCUCCGACAGUUUUGAUCGACAGAGUUCAGCGGAAUAUCUUGGCCGACAAGCCUCGUGUGACAAAAUUUCCCAUCAACUUCCAUCCUGACCCUAGCGAAAACGGAGGGCAGCAACAGCAGCCGCCUGUGUCACCCGAAAACCGUACCGGCGAGGAACCACAGUCUGUCCAGCAACCGAAGUGUUAGUUUCAUGUGUGUAGAUUGUCAACAGCUUCAAGGUGUAGUCAUCUGGCCGAUGUAAUUGGCUCACCUGAGAGUGUCUGUGUACCAUCAAAUGGUUUUUGUGGAUGGCUAUGGUUCUUGUGGCUGAUGGAACUCGGAUUAAGCUCUUGACUCGAGCCACGUUUCUAAUGUGAUUUGAGGAGAUGCCUGCAGCCGUGGAAGAAGCUGCUCAUUUUGUAUCCUGAUCUGUACUGUAUUUAUUAUGCAAAUUAUGGUCUUCUCUGAUUUUGAUCAGAUCCCAGUUCGUAUUGACAGAUUCAUCCGACCACUUUGACUUGUGUGGCAGUGAAUUGUAUACGAUCAGCUUACUCUCACGCAACCAUGUUUUGUCUUGGAAAACUUGGAAGUCAAUGCAAUCUUAUCUUCAUAUAUAUAUAUAUAUAUAUAUAUAUGAUUUAUUGAUAAAUGAUUUUGUUCAUGACUAUAUUCAUAUCAUGCGUUUAUUAGCAAUGAAAUUGAAUAUUUUAGAAAGUUUGAUCUGUUUAAAUUAGAUCAGACUAAUUAUAUAUUAUUUUCUAUAAUUAGUUAUCUUUAGUAUUUCGAUUUAUUUUUAAAAUAAUAUUGAGUUAUUUAUUUAUUUUUAAUUUUAUAUAAAGAUACUAAUAUUUUUUUUAUGAGUAUAAAAAAUUUAAUAUAAUUUUUAAAAUUAUAAAAAUUAAAAUACUAAAGAUAGGGAUAAUAUGUAAUUAGUCAAACCUUGUCACACCACUUGCCACGUGUUUUUCUGCAUGCCAGCCGGUCAGACUGCAUUCCCCCCACACGUUUCAUCAUCCCUACCCUUUCCUCCGCCACCUUCCCCUCCUAAUAAGACACUCUCCUCAGCCCCCGGCUGGAGAAUAAGGUAUUUUCCACCAGCUUCCAUGGCGGAGUGGCAGCCAGCCGGCCCAUGGACAGUGUCGACGCGCCACCAGUGGUCCGCCCCCUUCACCACCUCCGGCGGGCCAAGCCUCCUCCGCCGGCUCCAGGGCCACGCACCCAGCUCCAACCAGGUCGUCGGCUUCCUCACCCUCGUCAUCUCCGGCUGCAUCCUCCUCGUCCUCGCCGGCCUCACCCUCGCCGGCGCCGUCCUGGGCCUCACCUUCUUCGGCCCCAUCGUCCUCUUGACGAGCCCGAUGUGGGUCCCGGUAGGUUUCGUGAUGUUUGUCGUGUCCGCCGCCGUCCUCUCCGCGUGCGGGUUCGGCGUGGCGGCCCUGGCGGGCGCCUCGUGGCUGUACAACUACUUCAUGGGGCGGCAGCCGGCCGGAUCUGACCGGGUGGACUGCGCACGCAGCCGAAUCGCUGACGGGCCGAGCGACGUGACGGACUACGCGAGGGAGCACGGUGGGUACGCGAGGAGCCGGGUGAAGGACGCGGCGCCGGGGGCUUGAGAGUAGCCGAAGGCGCGCUCGUUCGUGCUUCUCGGCGUGUGGUUCGUGUUUGGUGUGGCGUUGACUGGUCUUUGUAUUGUCUUUGUCGUCUCUUCUUUCUUUGGUUUCAACGAUGGGGUUUAGCUUUUAAUGAUGACGAAUGUUAUUGGGUUUAUGUUCGAAGACUGCUUAAAAGGUUUCGAUUGUGCAUUUGGUUUGCAAUUUUAGGGAGUAAUUUAUAUCGAAUUAAUUGAUUUUUGUCUCAACCACGUGAAAUUAACUCUCAUCGUAAAAAUCAAACAUGGUUUUAAUUUUUUUUAAUUUAUUUAUUGUCUUUUUAAGAUAAUUUUAUGGGUGUUUUUAUGUCAAAUUUCACAUGUUUUCAUGUUAGAUGUAAAAUCGAGUGUAUUUUUGUCAAAUUAUUUUAAACUUUCAUAGUAUAAAUUAAAUAUAAUAUUUUUUUUUGAUAUUUUAAUAUUUUAAAAUGAUUUUAGAGUUGAAUAUAUAUGCAUUUCAGUUUAUUUUUAAAUAAAUAUAUAACAUGAGUGUCUUUUAGUAUAUUUUCAAACAUAUAAUAUGAAAUAUUUUCUAAUAAUUUGGAGAUCAAUGAGUCAAAUAUAAUCUUUAUUUUAUUUUUAUUUUUUUAUUAUGGAAUGAUUUUUUUUGCAUUUGUUAUGUUUUAGUUUCAAUCUAUAAUCUUUUAGUGCAUUUUAAUUUAUUGUUUGGUAUCACGAUAUAAAUUUCUCAAAACCAUGUACAAUCUUCGUUUUGUUAACACGCAUUCCAAUAUUAUUUUUAUUUUUAUUUUUUUUAUGAAAUUAGAUAUCGUGGAUUAUAUAUUUAGACCAUAUAAAUUUUUUGUAAGAUUAUAUAUAUAUAUAUGUACUUAUUAAUUGAAGUAAUAUAUAUAUAUAUAUAGACUUUUAAUAAAUAUUAAAUAUGUUAGAAGGAUACAUUUGUUAUAUAUUAUUUAAUAAUUUAUAUAUAUUAUUUAUCAAACACUCAAAUAGUUUAUUUGAAUCGCUUUACACCAUGUGAAAAUAUAUAUGAUAUAAAUAUUUAAUUUAAUUUUUUUAUUUUAUGAUGAUUUUGAUAUAAAUUUAUAAAUGAUACGAGAAGGGAUUAUGUAAGAGUAUAAGAAUAAAAAAGAUGGUUGAUAUAAAUUUUAUUUUAUGAUGGUUGAAUUUAAUCAUCAUAACAAAAUAUUGUAUGAUGACUAUUCAUUAGGAGGAGGAGAGGGAAGAAAGAUGAAAUAAGAGAAAAAAUAAAUGGUAUAAAACUGAAGAAGAUAUUAUUUACACUAAAGAUAUGUAAUAUCGUAUCGUACUGAUGUUUCGAGGUUGGUUCAAUACGGAACGUAUAUAAAGAUGAAGAAGAUAUUACCUACACUAAAGGUAUGCAAUAUCGUAUCGUACCGAUAUUUCGAGGUUGGUUCAGUACGAAACGUAUCGAGCAGUACACCAGAAUGUACUAAGCGGUACACCUAAUUUUAAAUAUUUUUUUUCUUUAUUAUUAGCACUACUACAAUGUGACACUAUAAUACGCUAGUAUAUUAGCGAUAUAUGUAUCGAUAUACCAUCAGACCGAUACAUACCGUCCAUACCGAAUGGUACCAUUCAAAAUUACAUGCUUACACUUAAACUCUACCGAUCAUGUAAUAAAGUCAAAAAACCAAAAACGAACCUAUAAGCACUUAUCCCCAUUGAUGCAAAAAAGGCCCUCAUAAAUUCCAGAAGGCCGCUAUCCUAUAAGAAGCAAUCAUAGGGACUUUUUUGGUAAGUCGCCUACCCGAUCCUUAAUUCAAAACCCUAAUUCCGAAGCCCAACCCACCCCCGCCUCUUGCCCCAUUUCUCUCCCUGCCGGCGCCCUCCCCGUGCCGACGACCGACGUCUGCAAGUAAGAGUCUUUGAUUCCAUCAGACUUUAGGCGAAAGUGGAACCUUGUUUUUCCUUUCUUUUCCGAUGUUGGGUUGUGAUUCGUUUUGAUUUGUACCGGGAAUGCAUGAAGGAAGGAAAGAAGCUAUGAAGGUGUUCCAGGUGAACGGGAGCACUACCCUCUCCCUCGCUCUUUUCACCGACGUCACCAAUAGCAGGUCUUCUUUUCUUUUCUUUUCUCUUCGUCUUUACUAAUCUUGCCUCGUGCAAACAGUAUUACAUCUAUUUGAAACUUCUUCAAUAUCCCGACGCAAUUAACUGCAGAACUCCUUUCUUUUAAGCUACACAUUCACUUCAGUUUGCUAAUUUUUAAGAGGGAAAAGAACAAGAAACAUCUUUUUUAUUGUAAUAUCUGAAUAAGCUUUAAAUGGGGGAGCUUCGAGGAUCUAUUGUGCAUUACGAUCAAUUAGGAAGCAUGAGUAGACUGGCAGAAGUUGUUCUAAUAGAUGCAUAUUCAAUAUGUCAUGUUGUUUCUUACUGUGGAGUUGCUCCCUAUCUCAUUGACCUGCGAUGUAUGAGCAACCAAAGAUUUGUGAUUAACGGGCCUACUUAUAAAGAGAAAAGAAAUUUGAUAGUUCAGAAUGAUGGGGUAGGCUUGCUUAGAUAGAAAAGUUUCCAUACCAUGGGUAACUUAAUAUAAUGUUGCCUUAGUUCAGACUUAAAUGUGGAUCGAUGUGACUCUGGUCUUACCAAUAACGAAAAAAAUAUAAUAAUGCAACAAUACUCUACCUUCUGCAGAACCUUAUGACAGGCCAAGUUCAACUUGUUUGGGUCCUAAUGACGCUUCAUCAAAUACACUAAAUGCUAGGGAUCAGGAUUAGAGUGCUAGCCUUAUUAGCAAUUGUUUUAUUGGAAGGGGUUUCAUUGAAACACUGUACGUUUUACAUUCUAUUUAUUCAUUUUCAGGGAAGUAAUAUGUGUGAGUCUUUUGUGCACUGCACAAUCAGAAUGUUGAACUUGACGAUAGAACAAUACGGUCUUGAGAUUUACGUAGACGAAUAUUUUUGGAGCUCAUGCUUCUCAUGUUAGAUGAGUGCUAAUGUUUGACUGAAAGGCAUAUUCAUGGGCGUUCUAAUGAUUCUUAUGCUGGGUAACUUCUGUAUGAUUUUACUUAUUUCGUUUUAUAUGGUCAUAAAUUUCUCAACAAUAUUUUUUUAAGUUUCAAUUUUUAUGCUGUCAUUAAAAUGAGGAACUUAUAACCCUUUUCAGUAUUGGCAUCAACUAGUUUGUCUGGUGUGGACAUUGUUUUGAAAUUUAUUAUACGUAUAUUCCUCUCUGGUUAAAUGAAGCUUCUCUGGUUACAAAUAACUUUGUGCUAAAAUCUGGUUUUGAAAUUUAUUAUACGUAUAUUUCUUCAUAUUGUGUUGAUGUUUUAUAUAAUUUUCCUCUAUCGAUAGCAUGAUUCAUUGCAAAAGAACAUUGAGUGACAUGCAUGGAAAUGCUCUACGUAACUGAAGGUGGGGAAGACAUUUACUUUUUGACCAAACUUUUCAGGCAACUUCUGGACUCUGUGCAGACUGGAAAACUGGAACCAGAAGUAGCACUGCUCAAUGCAUCACUAGUAUGUUCCUCUCCUCUUCUGGUUAAAUGAAGCUUCUCUGGUUACAAAUAACUUUGUGCUAAAAUCUGGUUUUCAUUGCAUACAAAAUUUUCUCAUAUCACAUAACUUUAUGCACAGUAAGUCUUCUUGCUGUCAUAUAUUUGAUGUUGCUUAUGCCGUCUAAUCUACAUGGAUUCCUCUUUCAUUUUAUUUUUAACUUGGGAGUGAUUGCAACUCUGGCAUGAAAAAUUGAUAUCCUUUUCGUUUGAACCUAUUGUUUAUACAGAUACCAGAUGUUUUCCCCAUUCUAGCUGCAGCUCAUAAGGCACUUGUAUCCAAAUCAAGGGAAUCACUAACAACACGUACUCUUCAUUCUGAGCUUAUUUAUAACUACUCCGGAUCUAAACAUGUAAAUGUCUAAUAUUCUAGAUCAACUUUCUUUGUUUUACCUAUGAUGUUCGCAUAACAAUUCUUCAAUGUACUUUUUGCUAGAUAACUGAAUCAUUAAAGAGAUGUGGAAUUUCUGAUGACACAACCUAUGUUCUUGCAGCUCGUUUUGCUGCAUCUCAUGAUGAGGUAUACAAUUUAGCAUCUAUGGUUUCUGUUGGUUUUAUAGAAUCACUUAAUCGACAGCUAACCUUCUUGAGGAGGUUGUUAAGUAGCAUUUGUGGCUCAAGUAUUUACUAUAUUCCAUCCUACUAAGCUUUUUUAAUGCAUCUAUUUUGUAUAAAGAGGCUACAUAGUACAUACUGAUUCUGCCAUUUUAAUACUUUGGAAAAUAAAAAUCGGGUUUUGUCUACAACUUGCAAUGUCCUUAUUUAUUUUUUUUUAGGUGGUCUCAUAACCUGAGAUCCAUUGUGUUUGCAAUUUCUGUUCAUUCUGACAUUUUUUUCUGUUGCAACCAACAGGAAGGCUAUUAUUUCAAGUUGGACAUUAGAUGCUAAGUUGUUUUCAAUCAACCUGACAUGCAUCAAGUUUAUGCUAAACAUGCAUUUAUAUUACAUAGAAAGAAGAUCUAUGCUGAUGCCAUUUUGAAGAAAACUUUUGUAAAUUAUCUAAUUCCUUUGUUUGCUUUUGAUUGUUUAAUAGCAUUUGCCGUAUGCUUGCAAUCUAUUGAUUAAUGAGCUGUUUUUCCCCCAAAAAAAAAAUGAAAAAAAUGAACGGUGAGGUCUUACUAUGAUAUUUAGAAUUCAUCCCCCAUUUAUCCUGUAGUCCCUUUCCACUUUCACAAUUCUUCAAAAUCAUAAACAAUCAUGGUGUUAAAGUUUGGUUGAUGAUUCAAACUCUGAAAUGGACCAUUUAAAUGUUGUCAACCAAUAACUAUUUUCUUUUGAUAAUUAAAAUGAUAGCUUUACACAAAAUGACAUAAAUAGCAAUGAUUUUAUUGAGUUAUGACAUAAAAGGUAUUCAUUGUACUUAGAUGAAAGAUGUGGUGAAGCUUAUAAAGGGCAAAGAGAUUGAUCUGUUAGAGUUGGAAGGGAGAGCCAACAAUGCACAGAUCCAAAAGGUAUAUAUUUCAUUCUUGGUUAAGUCCAUCACACCAGUACCAUUCUCACUACAAAUAAAUGUUGACUGUGCUCUUUACCCUUGUUUUCUAUUCCCCAGCAUUAUAAGAUAACCCCUCAGGAAUUAGCAAUAUCUUCGCUAUCUGAUGCAAUCGUCUGUAGGAUUGCAGCUCGAGAUGCCUUGUAAGGCAUUAUCAACAUAAGUGGCACAUUGUUCUUCAUCUUCAAUUUUUUUUUGUUAUUCUCCAUGUGCUCUUGAACCAAAAAAAAAAAUGCAAUAUUAUGAAUAUCAGUCCCUGAAUUCUAGCCUUUUUGUCUUGACUUGUGGACUGUGGUUCUCUAAAGUUCUUUUGUAAUUGUAUGAGAUUCUGUCCCCAAGAAAGGUUUAAUUUGAUUUUGGAUCUGAAUAUGAUACAAGAUGCACUUGUCUUUCCACUGGCAGCACACAAGACCUUGGACUCUAGAAAUUCUUUGCAGGUUGUCUCCAAACAUGAUUUUUCAGAGAUGGGCUUUCUUCAGAUAUCUCAGGCAGGGUAUGAUAAAAAUGUAAGUGGUUGUGAGGCAAAUGUUAGAGAAUUAAGAUGGUGAGCAGAAACUGAACUUUCUUCAUGUCUAAAGAAAUGAAAUCAUGGGCCACACAUUUUGUAUUUCCAUGUUCUUGUUAUGUAUCUGUAUACAUUAGAGGAGUUGGAUUUGCUGUAGAUCUUUAUUUCUCAUGUUUCAUGUCAAUUAAGAUUCAGUUCCUGCUGGAACUGUUCGUGGUCUUUCUCUCUCUACAUAUAUAUAUAGUGUUAAUUGUCAUUAUAUUCAAAUAAAAAAUGACAUUGAUCUCCGCAUCACAACACCACACCACGUGGUGGCGAUGAGAGCCGAAUCAUUCAAAUGUGUUGUUAGCGAUGGCGACGAAGGAUGGGGACCUCCAACGUUCGAGUCUUUUGUAAUGCAGCGGGCCGCCGGCGCUUUGACUGCGUGGCAGCGUUUCCUUUGCCUCACCCCACCGCUGUCACCCGAGGACGGAGGGACAGCGGCAGCCGCAGUGUGAAGGCUCGAAGCGACACGUUCUCCAUCUCCCACAUGUCGGCACGUGCUUUGAGUAGCUUUCGGCUGUUCCUUGCCGACACGCGACACGGCUUAGCCUUCGUCAUCAGCCACCGUCAAUCUUCAUUAAUUAUUGCUAAAGAUGGAUUGCUUGAUGCCGUGUUGGCGUGUGAUUGGCCCCGUCACAUGGCCCGCCGUGUUGCGUGUACGACUGCCGCCAAUGCAUCAUGUGUAUGCGACGUCCAAAGCGCGGUAAUCAAAUCUCGACUGGUAAUUAAAUAGGAUUUAUGGCUAUAAAACAUGAUUUUAUUGUCUUCGAAACAGAUAUCCACUUCCUCAAAUCAAUUAAAUUAAGAGAAGCUUAAGUGGAAACAAAAACAAUUAAUUAAUAACCCAAACUCUAGGAAUAAUAAUAAUAAUAAUUAUUAUUAAAUAAUAUUGAAUUAAUAAUUCUCAUGUGUCUUCUAUUUAAUGACACGUCUUGCCGACCGUUGGGUCUCUCUGACGCUCCGUUUCUCUACUCUCUUCUUCCUUCCUUGCCCUCCUCGUGCCCGGCGCAUCUUUUUGGCCAUCGCUUCCAUCCAUCACCCGAAAACCCACUCUUUCUUUUGCUUGCCUUAACCCGAAGCACAAAGAAUCCAACCCUACCUGACAACUCUCUCUCUCUUUCUCUCUAGUGUUCUCCAAUAUUCUGACGGUAAAGGUCUUUUAGGGGUUCUCAACAAAUCUGAGUGGUGGUCGGGAAGGGAUGAGUCGCUGAUUGCUUGUUGCUUGGUUCGGUCGGCGUUGAUGCUGCUCCUCUAAAGGUAAUUUAUGGCAAUGGCUGCGCUUUUCUUUUCUUUUUUUUCCUUUCUUUCUUUUACCUUUUUAUUUAUUGGAGAAGGAAGAACAAAUCUCAGCGUCUUUUUCUUUCUUCUCCUCUUUUAAAGAUCGAAUCUUUUCUUGCGUUGGAUCAGUAUUUUGUUGUUCGCGUUGUCUUGUGAAGAGUCUAGUUUCUUUGUGUUGGUUUACCCCCCGGCGGCCUGCCAUGGUUGAAAUAUAAUCCGCGGAUGGAUGGAAGAAGAGAGUUUUUGUCGACUUAUGCAGUUCAUGUAUGGGAAAAGGUCGUUUCUUUUUCUCUGUUUGAUUUGUUUUCUGGAGGUUUGGGUUUGUAAGUGCAGGUGGUCGUCCUGGUGGGUGUCUGCUGAGAACUCCUACUACUUCAUACCGUUGAGCUGGUCGAUAUCAGAAGUAGGUCGGAUGGAAUUUCGAGAUUUAGAUGAGCUAAACUUCUCUUACGGCAAAAGUGUCCCUUCUACUACUUCAAGAAUCGAUAGUAUGCGAAGUGAAAAGAUGAUAUAUUUUGGCGUCCGAUGAGUUAAAUGCUAAACAACUUAAAACUCCUCUGUUGAUGUAGCAUUAGAACUUUAGUAGAUUAAUUUGGGUCAAUAUGGAAAAAUAGACCUCUCUAUCCGUAUCUUGGGUCUUCUAAGUUAGUGUAAAUUAAGAAAGACCAACUUAUUGCUACCUGAAAGUUUCCUAGAAUUAAGCAGAAGUUGAGCAAAAAUCCUAAAGACCCAUAUGAUUUUGAUUGACCAAUUUAGGGUCUAAUUUUCUUAUGCUUCCCCUCAUUUCCGAGUGCUUGGUCAAGCAUUAGAGCUCUAAAGUUCGUCUAAACCAACUAUUAUAUGUGGCCUAGUUGUUCCAUUGAUCUUGAUCAACUAUUUCCAAGACUUGUGUCAUUUAAACAUGGAUUUGCAUUUCAGCUUGAUAAACUCAGCAAGGAAAAAGAUCAUGAAAUGUCUGAGAAGUCCUUGGAACAUUGACCAAUAAAUUUGAUCAUCUGCUUAUUGUAAUUAUUUAAUUAUUUGGACCUCUUGAUUGGAUCUAUGCAAAUAAUAUUUUUCAAUCGCUAGACACCAAGGUAUUUGAUAUAGUAUUGAAUUAAUUAUUUUUGUUUUCUCUAUGCAAGAUUCCUGUGCUCCCUAUCACAGUUUGACUACAAUGAUCUUGUCUGCUUUGUUGUUAAAAGUCACUGUUGAUGCUGUUUUUGCCACCUAAAAUGUUCUUCUUUCUACUUGUCACAGAUUUGAACACGUUUGGUCAUCUAAAAUUAUCACCAACAUAGACAAUAAGGUUAACAUGAUGUUAUUUAUAAUGCAAGUUCGUUAAAUUGGAAGCCACAUGAUGUCGAUAACUGAUCACCAAAAGUUUUGAAGUGAUUUGAUUGUGUCAGCAGCUCAAACCUAAACAUAAUAUGACUCAGUAGCAAAAAAAACUAUCUCUAGAUCACAUUAAGAGUUUCUUGAAACUAUAGUGCAAGAAAAAUUUCAGAGGCUGAUAAUUAUGCUGUUCUAGGUUUAGCUAACUUAUCUUAUUGAGUUUUGACAUUCUGGAUAUGCUUCUUAAAUGUUAAACAUGGAAGAUCUUUGUAUUGGCGACUUUUUCUCUACAUCAUUGUUGUCUCAUCUCUAUGAAAGAUUGCUUUCUUUUUUUGUUUCUAUUUAUGCUAAGAUUUAUGAGUACAUAAUACUACUAUCUGAUCUUUUGCAGGGUCGAUACAUAGAGGCGAAUCACUAUUCUAUAAGCGACAAUUAUGGCUACACUUACUGACAUAGGGCUUGCUGCAGCCAUCAACAUACUUGUUGCCAUUGCAUUCUUAGUAGCAUUUGCUAUACUAAGACUUCAACCAAUAAAUGACAGAGUUUACUUUCCAAAGUGGUAUCUUAAAGGUGUAAGAAGCAGUCCAACAUGCUCAGGGGCAUUUGUCCGCAAGUUUGUGAACUUAAAUUUGAGUUCAUAUUUGAGAUUUCUGGGAUGGAUGCCAGCUGCUCUCAGGAUGCCAGAGCCAGAGCUGAUAAACCAUGCAGGACUUGAUUCUGUUGUAUAUUUACGCAUAUACUUGAUAGGGUAUUCUACUUGUCUUUCAUUAAUCUAUUCUUCUUCUUUUUCUCUUUUAUGUAUGUACUGCAUUCAUGAAUUUGUUUAUUUUGUAUCUUAGUUGGUGUAAGAGGGUAAUGUGGAGUCUGAAUAAAUUAUCCUCGACAAACACUGGUAAUGCUACUUGGUAAAUGGUGUUACCUAGAAUUAGAUGAAAGGGUGGUGAUAUAUGAUAAAUUAUUUUAUUUAUUUAAGGCUAAUUCUUUACUUCUCUAUCUGUGCAACUCUAUCCUCUAUAAGCAGGAACUUGAUCAUCUAAUUUAGAAUUUGGGCAAUCAUCUAGCAAGACAUAGAAAGAAGCUGAAGCUUCGAGUAGUUGCCUGCUUGAUCUGAUUGGGAUAUGUAUGCUUCUUAUGGUCAGGAUUUUUAAAACUUUUUGCAAUGCUCUUGGUGAAAUUGAUAGACUUGAGUUUGCAUUUAGAUAAUAUAGUGGGAGAGAAAAGAUAAAACAGUGCAACAAGUUUAAAAGAAAAAAAAUGGUGAUAAAAAGAUUAACAAUAAAAAAUGGAGAGCUUUCUACAAUACUGGGAUUAGUUUCACCAUUCACCUUCCUUUCGAACUUGAUAUUUCAAUGUAUAGACAUGUCACUAAGUGGCAACAAUUAAGAAGUUUUUGCUUAUAUCAGAAAAACAAGGUGUGGUGCUUCAUGUUUGCAAUAUUGCAUGGUUAAUUGUUCUCCAUCUAGUGGUAACUUUGCAUCUUAAUUUUCUUGACCUUUCUUUUGUAUUGGGAUUAGUUCAGUUAUGUUCCCUAAGAAUUAUCAAAUUAUUUUUUAUCUACAAAUAAUUGAUCUCUUGGAUUUGCUUUUUCUACUAGACUUAAAAUCUUCGUUCCAAUGGCAAUCCUAGCAUUUGCAGUCUUGGUGCCAAUCAACUGGACAAACACUGAUACCUUGAAAAAUUCUGAAGUGGAGUUCAGUAACAUAGACAAACUUUCUAUUUCAAAUAUUCCUUUGAGUUCACAGAGGUAAGCUGUCACAAAUUUAAUAUUAUUUAUAACUACACCGCCUACUGGUUGAACUAAUUACUAGUUUCUGCUUAUCCCCUUUCUUAUAAUACUAGUUGUAAAGUUGCUGAAACUUGACCUAUUUUGAGAUCAUGUUUAUCAAUCAUUUUUAAAUAUGGCUGAAACUUGAAACUAAUUUGACUAUUGGGUAUAUACGACCGUUUGGUGAUUGGUAUGCUCUUGCUAUUUGCUUCUUGGUUUUUGUUAUAUCUCCACCUAACCAAAGAGUCAUUGUCAUAAUGAAAAUAAGUCAUUUUCAUCAUAUGCUGAAGAAAGAUAGUUACUUAAAGAUGAUACUUCUGAUGGUAAGCACAUACUUUUUAAAUAGAUUUUAACUUCUUUAUUGGAAACUAUGUCUUUUUUAUUAUUUAGGACCGCUAAACUUGUUUGAAUCAGUAGAUUGUGGUACCAAUAGAUAUCUGGAUUUGAUGUUCAAAUAUUACUUCACAGGACUUCAAUUCUUUGUGUGGUGCUAUCUUUACAUGUAUUCUUGCAGAAUCUGCAUGUUUCUCUGUUUUUUGGGUGUGAUUUAGCACACAAGUGAAUAAUGUAACAAUGCAUAAUUCUCUUCUGAUGCUCCUAGAUGAUGCUUUCUUCUCAGUUAUUUUCUGGUGAGAUUCUGGUUUUUCAUUUAAAUUUAAAGAUAUUUUCGUUUAUUUUUUCUCAUUUGAUGAUGGAGUAUGACCAUUAUAUUUUUUCAUUUUAAAUUGAAACCAAAUUAUAAAAUUUAAUUCAAUGAUGAAAUUGAAAUUUUAUCAUAUUUGAGCCUAAAAUGAUUUGUUUUACCUAUCAAAGUUGAACAUUGCUGGUAGAUUUAUUUACGAUCAAGGUUCAUCGUACCGUGAUAUAUUGCCUAGUAUGGGUUGUAUGUACCAGUCCGAUAGGGGACCAGUAUGAAUGGUACAUACCAGUUUGUCGGUAUGCCCUAUCAUAUCACGGUAUGUUGGUACGGUUCAGUAUGUACCUUAUCGAUGAGCGAUUAGUACACCAGUACGGACUGGUAAGGCGAACCAUAUUUAUGACCUUUGGUUACAUAUGUUUCUACACACGGGAUGCAUUUUUAAAAUUUCUCUUACCUUGUGUGGUUCUCUUAGUCAUUUCUACAUUUUAUUUUGUUCAUUGAAUCAGCCAAUUGUUGUAGGUUUUGCACCCUGUUGAAAAACAAUGUUUAUGAGUGUGUAACUGUUUCUUUUUAUUGUAGGUUCUGGGCUCAUUUAGUUAUGGCAUAUAUCUUUACCUCCUGGACAUGCUAUGUCUUGUUUAAGGAGUACGAAAUUGUUGCAUCAAUGAGGUUGCAUUUUCUUGCAUCUGAGAAACGCCGUCCUGAUCAGUUUACAGUAAGCUUAAUUUUAGUCUUUUUAAAAUGAUGUUGAGAGAAAUCUUACCAAAAGUUUGUUUGAUGUCAUGUUUGUGAAUUUGGAAAAAAGCUGCUAGAACUUUCUUCUUUUCCUCAAUGCAAUAUGGAAUGAAUCUAAUUUCUUAUGUUCACUAUGCCCACUGCAAUCUAAAUCUCCUAGAUGAACAUGAACGAUUUUUAUGUAUGCAAUUUUAUAUUUAUUUGCUGAAAAAUUAAAUAAUUAUAUGUUUGGAGUUCAAGAAUGACGUUUUACAUUUAUAUAAAAUUAGGAGAAAAAUGGAAAGUUUAUAUUGUAGCCUCAUUUGUUGAUCUUUAUAUGCAAAAAGAAGACAAUUUGUUAUCUGUUGACAACUCUUUUACCAUGGUUUGGUCAUUGGUGUAUGAAAAUGUGUUGCCUCUAUUGGGCUGGAUGUAUCUGUUCAACUAGGAAUCACCAUGGGGACUGCUUGAUUUUGGGGAACACCACAAGUUUCCGACCAUGUGGGCUAGUUUUGGUUUAAACCAAUUGAAAGGAUUCUAUCUAGUAUUAGUCAAAGUCAAUCAAAAUAUUUAGAGAUCUCCAACUCAAAUUUCUAUGUUCUAAUUGCUAAUCAUGAAUUCCACCCUAUGACACCCCUCUUUCUCUCUUACCUUUUGCCUCUACCUCCUUCCCACUAAUGUUACAUUAUGUUGAAUAUAUUUGGCCACAACUUGCAACUCAAUGAUUGGUGGUCUUGACAUUUUCCUACCAGUUCAGUACUGGAAUGUGUGCUGAUGGUACCAACAUGCAUCAGUUUGACCUGGAAAAAUGUGAAGUUUAGGGCUGAAACACACAUUUAAUAAUAGAGGCAUUGCCACUAUUGGAGAUGAAUUUGAUUUGAAAUAUACAAAUCAUAGUGGCAUUAGGAUGUAAUUUUAGGAUGACCAACACACUGCACUCCUCAAUGGCUUAGUAGGAAGGUUUAAUGUCUGAUUGUACACUUAUUUAUCAAUAUAGUUUCCUUCAUAGUAGGAGUGUGUAAUUGUAUUUGUACGUAUGUAUAUAUAGAAAAAUAAUGCAUAUUUAAAACUAUAUACAAUUAUGAAUAGCAUCAUUCUUAUAGAUUAUAGUAGGUAACAUUAAAUAAAUAAAGAGAUAAUCUGAUUGUCCUUUACUCCUUAUCUCUGCUGAUUUGUGUCAGCUAACUAAGUUUUUAUUCAUUUCAGGUCCUUGUUAGAAAUGUGCCACCUGACCCUGAUGAAUCAGUCAGCGAGCUUGUUGAACACUUUUUCCUUGUCAAUCAUCGGGAUCACUAUUUAACUCAUCAGGUUCUUUAUAUGCCGUGACCUCAUGAUUUAUAGUUUAAUGACAGUUGAAUGUUGAAAGACUGAUGUUAAUAGAUCCCUAGUUAGUUUAUAGUUUUAAUGCUUAUGAAUUUUGUGUGCUGAUAUAUUCUGAUUGGUUGUGAUCGUAUGCAAUGCUUAACCUUUAUAUUCUUUUCAUGAGUCUCAUAAAAAUAUUGUGGUGGUAUUUAUAGUCUGUAUGGUUUUCAUUACCUAUUUGUGUUAAAUUGGUCAUUGAUGAUGAAAGAAAACACUAGAUGCAAAGACUUCAUUGCGGUUGAAAAUAGAACAUGCAACUGAAGGCUUUGAAUCCAGUGCAGAGAAAGAAACUGUUUGAGCUGUUGUCUAUCUGAAUUGCCCAUCACCAUGAUGAUUUGAAAAUAGGAUGUAACUGAAGGCUUUGAAUCCAGUACGGAGAAAGAAACUGUUUGAACUGUUGUUUAUCUGAAUUGCCCGUCACCAUGAUGAUUUGACGGAACCUCACUGGAACAGUGAUAAGAGAGUGUGCUUUUCUUUUACCAUGAUGAUAAUUGAAAGUUUUAUGUUCAAAAUAGGGAAUGUUAUAACAGCUUAAUAAAAUGACUGAUGAAUGUAUGACUUGAAAUUGAAAAUAUUAAUGAUGGAAAUUAGUUUCACAUGCCCAAAUGCUGAUCUAGGAUAGAUCUAGUUUGAGUCUUCAUGCAUUAACUAAUAUUUUUUUACCAUUUCUUAGUCAUUUCACAGAUAUAUUUUCAUCUUAAGGUUGCAUGAUAUUUAGAAUCAAGUAGGUUUAACAUUGUGAUUUAAGUGUAAAUAAGAUUCAAGUUGAUACUUGAUAUGGAUAAAGUUUAAUGGUUGUUAGAGUGAUAUUAGGUAAUUUCAUGGUUCGCCUUAUUGAUCCAUGUUGGUCUACCAACCAGCUAUCGGUACAGUACAUACCGAGGCGUAUCGAGCACACUGACACAUGGUACAUGGAGGCGUAUCAAUAUACCGCUCGUACUGGUCUCCUAUCGGACCGGUAUGUACCACCCAUACUAAGCGGUAUGCUAUGGUAUAACAAACCUUGAGUAAUUUUAUUUUAUUUUAUUAUUUCUUACAUUGCAUAAAGCAAGGUUCGCUGUACCGUACCGUACCGACGUUUCGACCCGAGCUUGGUAUGGUACCAGUGUACCGGGCGGUACAUCAGGGCAUACCGAGCGGUACACCCUGGUGUACCAAAUUAUUUUUUAUUUUUUUUCAUAUUGUAGCAGUGCUACAGUAUAGUACUGUAGCACUGUAGCGGUACCGGGCAGUUCGCGUAUCGGUAACCUGUCGGACCGGUAUGUACCGCCCGAUAUGGGCGGUACGCUUCAGUACGACAGACCUUGAUAUAAAGUAUAAACAUAACCUAAAUUAAUAAUAAGAUGCCAGACGAGACAAAUUUGGUGGCUGAUUCAAUUGGCAACCAAAAUUUGUGCUAUAUAAGUCAAAAUUUUUUAGUUUGUGUUUUGAUUUGCACGAAGCUAACAUUAUUCAUAAAUGGAGAAUAUGGGAUGGCUUUAUGAUGAUGAAAUUGCUGGAUGGUUGAUAGAGCAAAGAACAAGUAUAUCUUCCCCAACAAAGCCUCUGCACCUCAUGAUUUAAUAAGAGCACAUUUUUGGUGAUUUUACUUUCUGGAGAAUCGAUGCGCUAAUGCAAUGUCUGCCUAGUUUUUAUUUCUUUCGUGUCCGAUAUAAUUAUCCUUGUAAAUUGUAGUUUCGUCUUCUUCUAUCAGAACUUAUCAAACUAACUUUUCCAUUCUCUUAAGUGUCUCAACCUAUUCUUUACUCUCCGAAAGAAGGAAGAAACUAGUUCCGGCCUAUUCUUUGCUUAAAAAAAGAAAAAGAAAAAAAAAACAACAAUAACUAAUAAGAACGUUAAAUAUUAGGACCCAUGUCAUAUGACUCUUCAUACUAACCCAAGUAAUGUAGGUGCAAGGAGACCCCCAUUAAUCUCUCACACCACUGUGACACAUUAUGAUUGUCUAGUUGACUCAUUAAGUUAUCAAAUGGUGUUUUUUAUUAAAAUAUUUUUUUAUUAAAACAUCAUGUGCAUUUUUAUGAUUCUGGAUAUAUAUGGUCAUGAUAUUUGUCGUACUUGUUAAGAAAAUAUUCAUGUAGAGGAUAAAGAUUGAAAGAGGACUAAAGAAUAAUUCAUUUUGCUUAGGAUUGAAAGAAUGUGCUGAUAUAUAUUGAGUUUGGCCAAUAAUUUAACAGCUCAAGCUUUUGGGUUGGAUUAUUGUCCACUCUCAUGUGUGUUAGCCCUGCCUGAAAUUCAUUUAUUUAAAUUCUCCAUUUGGUAUCAAAGCCAUAAGGUCCACAAUAGUUAGCUUUGAUUAGUUUGACAUAAACCAUCCAAUUUAAAAUCUCAACAAUACUAUCAACUCAAAAGAUGUUUUCUUAUUCGCCUAGCAUGCUUGAAUGUAUCAACCAUAUUGUGUACAUGCAGUCCAAUCCAAGAGGAAGCCUACACUAGUGCAGUACAUGAUGUGGCAAUCCUUGGAUUUCAUGAUGAAUGGUGAUAUUGUUUGUAUCAGUAUUGGAAUCAAGUAUCUUUCAUGGAAAACUAAGUGGAUAUGGAUUAUGGACAACCUCUUGGCAAGUGGUUUCCAAUAAUGUUGAUGUGAUGGUUCGUGAGAAAAGUUGAUAUGCAGUUUUCAGAAGUUCCUGUAAUAGGAAUCUGUUCCAUGCAUGUCUGCACACUCGCUUUUAGAUAAUGGUGAUAUUGUUUGGAUCAUUGUUGGAAUCAAGUAUCUUUCAUGGCAAACUUAAUGGAUAUGGAUUAUGGACAACCUAUUGGCAAUGCUGAUGUGAUGGUUUGUGAGAAGCUGAUUUGCAGUUUUCAACUUGUCUCACCAUAACUUUGCAAGAAGUUCCUGUAAUAGGAAUCUGUUCCAUGCAUGUCUGAACACUCACUUUUCCUUGUGUUACAAUUCUCUUUUAGAUAAUGAUCAGGAUUAAAGGUGAUAAAGCUUUUUCUCAUGUACAUAAUCCUUGGAUGUCCUGAUGAAUAGUGAUAUCAUUUGGAUCAUUAUUGGAAUCAAGGUAUCUUUUGUGGCAAAUUAUGUGGAUAUGGAAUAUGGACUACCUAUUGGCAAGUUGUUUGUAAUAGUGUUGAUCAGUGAUUUAAAAGGACGUUCAGACGAGGCGAGGUGAGGCCCGAACGCCUCAUAUAAGGGCCUGGUGGCGUGCUUCAAUAAGGCAUCGCUUGGGCGCUUGCUUGAGCCCAAGGCCAGGUGCUUUGAGCAAGCGCCCGGUUGAUAUAAGGCAACCAGGUUCGGUUAAAUGUGCGUUAGUUGGUUUAAACAAAUCAACUAACGCACACAGUUACCUCAAAACCUACGCGCGACCCCGACUCCCAACCCUAGUAUGCGCUUUCUCCCUCUACCUCCGCUGCCAACGAUUUCUCCCUCUGUGUCUGCUGUCGAUGAUUUCUCCUUCUGCAUUCGCCGCUGACGAUUUCUCCCUUUGUCUCCAUCGCUUACGAUUUCUCCCGUUGCCUCCGAGUCUUCCUUUGUCGCUGAUCGAGUCUCCUUAGCUUCCGCUGUUGUCCGUUGUUUGCCGCUGCCUGUUGCUGUCUGCGACUCCGCUGUCGUUGCCUACUGCUGUCCAUGACUCCGCUGUCGCUGCUGCUAUCCACUACUCCAUUGUCGCUGCCACAGUUGUUGUCCACUGCUUCUCUUCUGAGUUCUGACUUCUCACUAUCGGUUUCACUAAGUGAUAUUUUUUUAUCCCUUUUAACAGUUAUACUCUUCCCUUCUAACUGUUGUUAACAGUAAAUAAUAUACUGUUAACAAUACAUUAUUAAUUACUAUGCAAAAUAAUCUUUAUUUAUUAGAUUAAUAAUAUGAUAUUUUUGUAUAUUUUAAUAUUUUAGAGCGUCUCGUUUUGCUCGGGCGAUCGCCUAGCGUCUCGGGCGUUUUGGGACCUUAGCGCCUAGCGCUUUUUAAAUCACUGGUGUUGAUGCACUGGUCUGUGAGAAAAGUUUGAUUUUCAGUUUUCAAAUUGUUCCACCAAAAUUUUGCAAGAAAACUAUAAUAGGAAUCUGUUCCAUGCAUAUCCGGGCACUUGCUUUUUUCAUAUGUUACAAGUAUCUUUUAGAUAUGAUCGAUCAGGUUUUAAGGACAUCUCUGCUUAAAGGGUCAAAAUAUUAUUUACUAGUCUUGGUACGAGCUAUGAGGGGUGCUUUAAAGACUUCUUCUCAUGGGAGGAUGCAGGGAAAUAAUAGAAUGACUGGCAAUUCUAUGUUUAAUGUUCUAGAAUAAUUGUCAAUACUGAUUGAUCACUGGUCAAUUGCAGUUUUUGUUUGGGAUGAUUUCAGAUCUAGCUGAUAUAGUUUUUCUAGUGUUUGUAAAAAUGUCCAUGCAUGUAUGCAUAUGUAACCAUGUGCAUUUUUAGGAACUUUGAUAUGCAAUUUAUUGACGGUAGCAGCCAUAUGAUGUUAUUUCUUACAUUUUCAAGUUAUACUUUUGCUUGUUUAGCUCUUAGGAAUUUUUUCUUGAUUGAUAUGAAUGCUCAUUUAUAGAAUGAAGCCUAUUUCCUCAAUUUGAUAAUACUUUUUUUGUACAAUAUGUUUUAGUUUGAUAUUUUUUUUUUAUACCAUUAAGAAUUAAUCAUAAAUAGGCUGUUGAAUAUUUAAAAUUAUUGAUAUUACAUUCACGAGGAGAGUGCUUGUUUUUAAUUAUAGAUUUGACUUCUAUUACCAAAAAGAUAAUACCAAUAUUUUAAAUCGCUACAUAAUACUGGCUUUGGUAAGUAGUUCGAUUAGUAUGGUUCUAGGUUAUCAAACAGUACCAUUUGAUAUCACAAAAAGAAAUUGAUAAAAAAUAAAUAUUGACUGGUACCUACUGAAUGAGGAGAGUGCUUGUUUUUAAUUAUAGAUUUGACUUCUAUUACCAAAAAGAUAAUACCAAUAUUUUAAAUCGCUACAUAAUACUGGCUUUGGUAAGUAGUUCGAUUAGUAUGGUUCUAGGUUAUCAAACAGUACCAUUUGAUAUCACCAAAAGAAAUUGAUAAAAAAUAAAUAUUGACUGGUACCUACUGAAUGCUGUGGUCAGACUAGUAAUUACCAAUUGACACAUACAAAUCUGAGGGGUAUUUGAAACCUUGGAGAAUAUACUUGUAUUUUUGCUUUCUUUUAAGAAUGCUUAUAGAUGACAAUAUGUAACAUGUGUAACCAGGAUUGUAGUUGUUUUCAUGCAUGUAUUUUCGUAGCAUUUAAUAUGCAUUUUAGUAUGUUAUAACAAACAUAUGUUUUGUAGGUUGUCUAUAAUGCAAACAAACUUUCUAAGCUGGUAAAAAAGAAGAAGCAGAUGCAGAAUUGGCGUGAUUAUUAUCAACUAAAAUAUGAUAAGGAUCCAUCUAAAAGGCCUGCAGUAAAGGUUAUUUUUUCAGCUUAUAUCUUUCUCUUUGUUUUUUGAUUUCUUCAAAUGAUCUUCACUUUUAUUUAUAUUGUGUCUUCUUACCAUGUGUUCUCUAGAAAUCUCAUAAUAGGUUUCUUUGUUUUAACAGACUGGUUUUCUUGGACUCUGUGGUGAAAAGGUGGAUGCUAUUGACUUUUACAAAUCUAAGAUUGACGAGCUCUCUAAAAAGGUAUGUGUUACUUAUUGAUAUGAUGGCCAUUUCCAAUUUACCACUUGCAAUAAAUCAUAUGCUAAAUUAAAUCAUUUUCUUGUUUUUAAAAAGUUAUAGUUGCUUGUGACUUAGGAUUUACUUUCUUUUGUGUUCUAACUUGGGUUUUAAUAUAUAUGUAGGUUCAUAGUUCAAUUUUCAGCAGAUUCAUCCAUUUUGUACCUCAUGUAUAUGUUGAUCAUGGAACAACCUUAGUUUUCCAUGCCUUUUCUUUUAUGCUUCUAGUUCUAACUGUAAAGAACAUGUGCUAUCAUGUUCUCUCUUAAUAGCAGUGAAAUGCAGGCAUUAUGUUGAUAAUAAGGUAUGUCAUGCCAGUCUAUAUGGGAACCGAGGAAUUAUGGAAAGUAUUAUUGAGAUCCUUAAAAUAGUAUUGUUGAGAUCUCCAAAAUUGUCAUACCUCAAAAGGCUUACAAUACCUUUAGUUUUAGACCUUGCCUUGCCCUCUCCUAUGACUAAUUCUAUAAGUCAACCUGGUUACUUCUCUAUAUUCAAUUAGGAUGAAUUCUUCUUAUUUUACUAAAACCCAAGUAUGAUCCUACUAGAUUAGGAGAAGGAUCUUCUUCUCCUGGUAGGAUCAGAUCAGGAGACUCCCUUAGAUCAAGAGGGUUACUUAAAUCUCACUCAGGUCUUGACUUAUGCCUUGACUCAAGUUCAAUCCAGUUGAAUCAUUUCUCUAUUAUAGUUUUGAGUUUGGACGUCGGAGACCAGUGGUUGGCCCACUCAAGUGCUGUGUGAAUCCAAUAAAUAUCAGGGCUGGUCCUUUUAAGAUUUUUUGUCUCGAGCUUCUGUGAAAUCAUUUCUUUAUUUUAGAUCACUAAAAUUUUGCAUCAUAACAAUGAUAUUUGUAGUUCAAUAUUUGCUGUCUUGUUUAAUGCCUUCUAUUCAAACAAAGAAUACAAUUCUUCUACGAAAUUGUAAUCUUCAAAUGACCGUAUGAUGAUAGUCCGAGCAGUUAUGUAAAGGCCUAGAAUAUGGUUUCUUCUAGGUUGAUGUAGACUGACCCAGAAGAUGACAUCUUUUAGAGAGUUGCAGAAAUGCUUGGAAUAUCAUCUUCCUAGCUUGUAACCUAAAAACGUCAAAUCGAUCUAACAAACGUAAAAAAUAUUUCUCACCUCCUCUUCGAUCUUUAGAUUAUCCCAUUUGAUAAUCUAUCUUUUUUCCAUUAUUUUGUAUCAUCGAUGAUGAAAGAUGCUCCAGUGAUUAGGAGGAGACGAAAAAGAAUGAUAAGAAGGGGAAGAAGUAGAAAAAAAAGGGGUUGUCUGGAAAGAGUUCAAAGAGUAUCUUGAAAUUAAGUGAUAAGUUGAGGCAUUUAUAUCCAUUUGCAGACGGGUCUCUUUGAAAUAUUAAAAGUUCUUAAGAUGAGAUUGUAAAUAGCAAAAAAGGGGUUGCCAAUAGAAAUUUUCUUUGUUUUAUCUUAUCAAGUUUUUAUUUAUCUGUAUAUUUGUGAAAUCUUACCUAUGCACACCAACCGAGUUGGUCCUGUGAUGGUUUCCCUCUUAAUCUUGAGGAAGUUCUUGGUUCAAAUUUUCACUAGGUGGUGCCAAGUAAUUGAACAAGAUACUCAUGGUGGAGAGUGUGCUUGGUAGCUCAAGUAGCUUACAUUCUUUAUUGCAGCUGUAUCUCAUGCUCAAGAAGUGACAAAUUCAUAAAAUGUAGACAAAGGACCAUGGACACUAUAUCUACGAGAUCUUACACAGCUUUUUGGAAGUAGUAAAACCUAAAGUAUCCUAGCUAAUAAGAAGAUAUAUUUAAUAUUAAAAUCUCAUAUAGGUUCCAAGUACGUCUGGAGGCUAGAAAGAACUUAUUUAAGAUAGUAAAUUUUCUUCUAGGCCAUCAAGAAGGUUAAAUUGAUGAACAAAAAGAAAAAAAAUCUUUUUCUGGAGUUGACACUCAUGGAAACUUUUAUUUUAGUUCAAAGCACAUUGAAUCUCUAUUGGCCUUUAAUAUGAUUAUUGUUAUUAUUAUUUGAUCCAUCCUUAAAGAAGCAAUUGCUGUCACAAUGCAUCAUUUUGCUGAUGCUUGAAAGAACUCUCUUGAUGUUCCUUGCCCUGUUAGAGUAAUUUUAUGUUUGGCAAGUAGACUUUUUAUGUCAAGUUGUCAACAUCUUGAGAUGACUUGAUUACCCCAGUUGGUGAGGUGCAUUAUUAAUUAUCUUCAUGAAUCUUGCAAGGCCUAUCUUAUUGCUUUAGAAUUAUUUAUAUAAAGUAUCCUAUCCCUCAAAAUCACUCUUGCAUAUGUCAAUUAAAUUUAGCUUUAUAAUCACAUUACUAGUUAUAUUUCCUGUGACGAUUGUGUCAAUUUGUUACAUUCUUUUAUACCAUCUUAUGGAUUCUUAGGGUUGGUGAUGGUAUAUGAAAUUCUUGUUCAAUUCCGGGUGCCAUUUGAAUUUUUUAGUUUGGACUUUUCUUGCUUUGAAGAAAAAAAUGUUCCAUACUAAACUAAGUCUGCUCUUUUAUGGAUAAAAUUACUUUAGGAGACUACAGAACAAGAAAUGAUAAAAAAGGAUCCAAAGUCCAUUAUGCCAGCUGCAUUUGUUUCCUUUAGGACACGGUGGGGGGCAGCUGUAUGUGCUCAAACACAACAAACUAGAAACCCAACUUUAUGGUUGACUGAGUGGGCUCCAGAACCUCGGGAUGUGUAUUGGCAGAAUUUAGCUAUUCCAUUUGUUUCCCUCACAGUCAGACGGUUGAUUAUAGCAGUUGCCUUCUUCUUUCUUACCUUCUUCUUUAUGAUUCCAAUCGCAUUUGUACAAUCUCUUGCUAACAUCGAGGGAAUCGAGAAGGUUGUUCCAUUUUUGAAGCCCGUAAUUGAAGUGUAAGUUUUGUAAUUUGUACUAUUGAUUUCUUUUGUUUAUUUGUCUUCUGUUUCUUGCAGUGUGAAAUUAUUCUACUGAAGUUUCCUUUAUCUUGAAAAUUCUCACAUCUAGUUUUCUAUAUAUUUCUUACUUGUACCUAAUUGUUGAUAACUUGAUAUGACUUGUUGCCAGCUUAUGAUAGCUAGUUUUUCAGUACAAGUAAUUAUAAAUACGAUCCCAAUGAUAUUUUUCUUUUUACUUUUGAAACUUCUACAUAAAACCAUGUUUUGAGAAGAAUAUGUUAUGCUCAUAAGUGUAUCUUAAGCCAUAACAUAUUGGGUAGAAACCAUGUUUUGUAAGAAUACGUUAUGGUUGUAAGCCAUUAAUUCAGGCUAACCUAUAUGGUUGAUCAUAAGUGUCAUAAAUCAUCAGAGACUUGGAGUACCAAUAGGAUAUUAUCAACUUAUUUUUAGAAAACAACCUCUUUAAAGAAGGCUUUCUUAAGGUAACCAUCUUGCACUUGUGAAAGCAUAAGGAGAAGAACAAGGUCUUCAUACCAACCAUUAUGUAACCAUCAUCUGUAUCUCUGGAUCCAAUUUAGAUUGAAGAAAAAGUAACAUACUCAUUUCCGAAAGCCGUUUGAUCCACAGAUUUUCUUUGACAUUUGGGGUUGGGCUAGUGACCAUGAGCGUGGCAAAUUCCAUGCUGAUAGGUGGUGCACGCAUAUGGAAACACUCAGAACAUCCAAACAUGCUAUCACAACUAGUGUUAACAGAACUAGGAUGCAUCAUAUUAUUCAUUUAUAUGUUCAUUUGUUAGGAAAGACUUGAAGUAGAUCUAACUAAAUUUACCUAUUCCUAAACAUAUUGAACGAAGUAAAACAGUCUUGGACAGAAAUGGAAAAGAAACGGACUAAAUUUACCUCUAGUUUUAUUGUAUGAAAAAGAAGUGGAAAAGAUAAAUGUCAAUUUAUUUCUUUCCAUUGUUUGAUGUUUUUCUUCUUUAACUCAUUUGGCAUUUGGUAUUGAUGGAAGUUGAUAGUGACUAUAGCAGCAGAUAGCUAUGACAUAGUGUGCAAAAUAAAAAAGGGGCUUCAGUCACUGCUCUUUAGUUUGAGCAAUAAUCUUAUACCCUAGUAGUCACAUAACGAAUGUGCCCUGAUUACAGCAGGAGAUAGCUAUGGCAUAGUAUGCAAAGUAAAAAAGGUGCUUCAAUCACUGCUCUUCAGUUUGAGGCUUUGAGCUAUAAUAUAAUACCCUGAUAGUUCCAUAACGUGGGCUAUGAUAUAUAUGGUAUAUAAGUCACUUCUUGACUUUGUAAAGGAAACUUGUCAGUCCUAGUCCUACGACUCAUUUGUAUUAUUAUGUCAUGUGAAAGCCAAAAAAGAGUUUGUUAAGCUAUAUGAAAUGCCUUUACUGUGAAGGCACCAGGGAUUUGAGUAGGUGACAUUGUGAUACCUUAAUGUUCCCACAUAAAAAAGGAUUUGUAUGUUAACUUGAGUACCUAGACUCAAGGAUUCAAUCCUGGGUGUUGGGAUUGUAUCUAAGGCUGCUUAAGCCAGUUCAAUGAUACUGUACUGAGACCUAACAACAUUUUGUUUUGUAGCCAUUGUCAUAACAAAGUGCACAUAUCCCAUUUAAGAUAUAUUGAUCAUGAACAUUUGUCCUUGUCAUCUACAAAUAUUUAAGGUAACCUAAAGGGAAUAAGACCACUGUUAUUGGCGGUGGAAGAAGAAAUGGGAGAGCAGAUGUUGUGGCUGAUCGGUUAUAGCAGCAUUCUAUCAUCAAUUUGUGUACCAUGAUAUUCUGGAUUAGAUAGGGCCUUAAUUCAUUAUCACCAGGAAUUUAAAAGGUUAUUCUAUAGAUUUGGACUAGGUAUGUCUUGGUCUGUGCAACAUAAAUUAGAUAAUAUAAUUUAAUCUCAAACCAGCAUAUGAGCCUCUAAAAUUUUGCAUUUGUUCAUACCAGUACCUGCUUGUCCUUUGAUGAAGCUUUUCUAGAUUUAUGUUGUAGUUGAAAAGUAAUCAUCAUGAAUAUGUAUCACCUAAUAUAAAUAUUACAUUGUGUCAGAGAAUUGCCUAAACAUCCUUUCUAGUUAUUCCAAAAGAACUUUCAGUUUUAUUAUAUUACAACAAUUUUGGGGAUUUGUGAUAUUUUGAACAUUUUCUUUUUUACUGACAAGUAAUCAUAAUUUUACAGGGGAACUAUCAAAUCAUUCAUCCAAGGUUUUCUUCCAGGAAUUGCUCUGAAGAUCUUUCUUAUAUUGCUCCCUACAAUAUUGAUGCUUAUGUCGAAGUUUGAAGGAUUUACAUCCUUGUCAGCAUUGGAGAGAAGAUCUGCAUCUAAAUAUUACCUCUUUUUACUUGUAAAUGUAUUUCUUGGGAGCAUCAUUACUGGAACAGCAUUCCAGCAGCUAAAUAGGUUUAUUCACCAGUCAGCAAAUGAGUAUGUUUUGCAACUUAUCCUCAUAUCUGAAAAUUACUAAAUAAUUAGUUUGGUUUUUAUAACCUAUGCGCUUUACAAGAUUUGGAUACCAAUAAUUUGGAAAUGAAUGUGCAUCAUGGUUGAUACCUUCAUUAGCUCAGAUAUACCAACAAGUGAAUGGAUUUCACUCAUCCAUCUAUGCGAACAGCACAUCCUAUGCAUGAAUCUUAAUGCAUAUUUUGGUCAGAAUUCAGAAAGACUUUAGCUUCAAAGCUUUUGAAACUAAUAUGCCUUGUUGUGUGUGUAUAUAUAUAAAGAUAUUUACCUUCAGAUAUAAGUUUAUAUAAUGUAUAUAUACACACAUUGUUCAAUCAAGCGUUUCUUUGUAGUUGUAUUUCAUAUACCAGCAUCCUAUAAAAUAUUUCCUACUAUUUUGUUAGUAAACCUAAUGAAAUAUUCUAAUCACUUGAUAAAAUGUUCUGCCCAUGCUAAGAACUAUUUGUGGUUAGGUCUGGAAUAUGUUCUUAAAUACAGACUAAAUAGAGUUGUCUGGCUUCUUGUGGUAAAACCAAGGAUUAAGAUUCUGGUCAUACUGAACUAACUGAAAUACAUUCUGUCUUAAGGAUUAACAAACAUGGUACAAAGAUGUGCCAGUUAUCAUAUUAUGGCAGCAUAUAGAAACAAGUCAGGUAUCUGAUAACGAUGCUUGAAAUGGCAUGAUAAUAGUAGUACCGGAUGAACUGCUGAAAAAGAAGCAUCACAUGACACCUUUACCAUGGGUGAAUCACAAUAUAGAUAAUGUUUUCUUACCUGCCAGCAUAUGUAAUAUAGUCGUGGACACAAUGACAAUGCAUGACAUGGCAGUAUAACAAUACCUGAUUAAUGACCUACUGGAAAGGGCAUCAUAAACCUUAAUUGAGAUGAAUCACAACAUAGGUAGUGUUCCAGACUUCCAGUUACCAGAUUGUUUCUCUUUCUGGUAAUUACACAUUUGUCUUGUGCUUUAUUCCUAGACUUCUGUUCCAGAAAAAUUAGAAAUUUGACAUUAAAUAAGAGUUCUUACCUCUUAUGAAAAUUGACUUGUUGAUAUGAAUCUUUGUCUUGUGCUUUAUUCCUAGUUUUGAAUCUUUCAUUGAAUUAUUCACUCGAUCUAACUUCUUUUUGUUUAUCAAGAAGUCUUCAUAAUUUAAAACUGUCCUGUUAUGUAGAAUUCCAAGGACAAUAGGUGUAUCUAUUCCCCAGAAAGCAACAUUCUUCAUUACCUACAUCAUGGUUGAUGGUUGGGCUGGAAUUGCUGGGGAGAUCUUAAGACUGAAACCUUUAAUAAUAUAUCAUUUGAAGAAUUUUUUUCUGGUGAAGACUGAGAAAGACAGGGAAGAAGCUAUGGAUCCUGGAAGUAUCGAUUUUGCCUCAUCUGAACCUAAGAUACAGCUGUACUUUCUCCUUGGUCUUGUAUAUGCAGUGGUCACACCGUUCUUGCUUCCUUUCAUAAUAAUUUUCUUUGCCUUGGCAUUUGUUGUCUUUCGUCAUCAGGUGAGCAACUUAGUAAUCUAUGAUCCUGCAGACUUAGAGUUGCAUUAUAUUCCAUAAAUGGAUUUUCUUAUAUUGAUGUACAUGCAUAUUUGAUUCAAUGUUUAACUACUUUAUAGUUGUCUAAAGCUUGGUUAUGUGAAGUGUGUUCUUUAUUAGUGGUCUUUGUGGUUCCCACAGGACAAGUCCGUUAUUACCAAGGUCUGCAAUGCCGUACAGUAUCGAUGAUUCGAGGCUGGCUCGGUACGUUGUACCGAGCGAUACGCCAAGCGUACUGAGCGGUACACCUAAUUUAGGGUGUAAAACCCUCCGAAAAUACCUAAAAAUAAAAAAAAGGUUAGGAUAGGGUUUUUAAGUUAGAAAUAAAUAUAGUAAUAGUAUAAGUUUAGCAAAAUCAAUGUAAAUUAAGUAAGAAUAGUAUCACAUAUCUUUUUCGGGCUUUGAGGAAGUCUUGUUCAAGGUUCGUAUUUCAGUCCGNNNNNNNNNNNNNNNNNNNNNNNNNNNNNNNNNNNNNNNNNNNNNNNNNNNNNNNNNNNNNNNNNNNNNNNNNNNNNNNNNNNNNNNNNNNNNNNNNNNNNNNNNNNNNNNNNNNNNNNNNNNNNNNNNNNNNNNNNNNNNNNNNNNNNNNNNNNNNNNNNNNNNNNNNNNNNNNNNNNNNNNNNNNNNNNNNNNNNNNNNNNNNNNNNNNNNNNNNNNNNNNNNNNNNNNNNNNNNNNNNNNNNNNNNNNNNNNNNNNNNNNNNNNNNNNNNNNNNNNNNNNNNNNNNNNNNNNNNNNNNNNNNNNNNNNNNNNNNNNNNNNNNNNNNNNNNNNNNNNNNNNNNNNNNNNNNNNNNNNNNNNNNNNNNNNNNNNNNNNNNNNNNNNNNNNNNNNNNNNNNNNNNNNNNNNNNNNNNNNNNNNNNNNNNNNNNNNNNNNNNNNNNNNNNNNNNNNNNNNNNNNNNNNNNNNNNNNNNNNNNNNNNNNNNNNNNNNNNNNNNNNNNNNNNNNNNNNNNNNNNNNNNNNNNNNNNNNNNNNNNNNNNNNNNNNNNNNNNNNNNNNNNNNNNNNNNNNNNNNNNNNNNNNNNNNNNNNNNNNNNNNNNNNNNNNNNNNNNNNNNNNNNNNNNNNNNNNNNNNNNNNNNNNNNNNNNNNNNNNNNNNNNNNNNNNNNNNNNNNNNNNNNNNNNNNNNNNNNNNNNNNNNNNNNNNNNNNNNNNNNNNNNNNNNNNNNNNNNNNNNNNNNNNNNNNNNNNNNNNNNNNNNNNNNNNNNNNNNNNNNNNNNNNNNNNNNNNNNNNNNNNNNNNNNNNNNNNNNNNNNNNNNNNNNNNNNNNNNNNNNNNNNNNNNNNNNNNNNNNNNNNNNNNNNNNNNNNNNNNNNNNNNNNNNNNNNNNNNNNNNNNNNNNNNNNNNNNNNNNNNNNNNNNNNNNNNNNNNNNNNNNNNNNNNNNNNNNNNNNNNNNNNNNNNNNNNNNNNNNNNNNNNNNNNNNNNNNNNNNNNNNNNNNNNNNNNNNNNNNNNNNNNNNNNNNNNNNNNNNNNNNNNNNNNNNNNNNNNNNNNNNNNNNNNAGUAUGUACCGGGCGGUAUCAUUCGGUAUUGCCUACCUUGGUCAUUACUGCAGCACACUAAUUCCUUAAACUCAUCACGAGGUACUUGUUUAGCAAACACCUGAAAUAUUUGGGAGAAAACAGGUUGAGCUUAAGAGAGCAAGCCUUUUGUGGGAAAGUAACAAAAUUAUUUGAAGGAUGGUUCCUAAUCUAUGAAAUUUAACUGCUCUCGUGAAUGCUUCUUUGCAGGCUAUUUAGGCCAGAAACUCCUGUUUAAAAAUGACUGUAAAAUUGGACUUCAGAAAGGCAAAAUCUCAUCUUGUUAUCACCUGUCGUCUAAUCAUUUUCCUUGUCUAUCUGUAUUUCUUGUCUUAUUCAAUAUGUAGUCAACUGUUGAAAGAGAACCUCUUUUUCUGUUGUCCUUUCUUUUAUGAAAAUCCACAUGAUCAAAUAAUUAAAUUCUCUUCUCAUUCCCGUGUUUCUUUUAUCUUAUUGAUUAAACUUGAUUGAUCUUUUUAUGGGAAAAAAGACAAAAGCGUUGCUUUUGUGUGAAAAGUCACCUGUUAUGUCUCAGUAUCGUGUAACGUCUAGUUAUUACUCUCUUAUGUAUUUAAUUUUCAUUUCUUUAAGCUUUAGUUACAAGGGUGAUAUAUUGAGCUAUUAGCAAAGGGCCAAGGGUGAUAUAUAGAGCUUAUACAAAAAAAUGAUCUUGAUCUCUCUCCCUAUGGAGUUUGCAUGUGAAAGCACAACAGGGAAGAUAAUUUGCACCUUUUUCGGUUACUUAUUUGGUUGGGCCUAUAGAAAUCAAGUUGCUUUCCUUUUUCUUGUCAUCUGCUGUGGCUUCAUUUAUAUUUUUCACAUUCUUCUGCUUUUUUUUCCCUUGAUUGUAGCAUAGUCUUUACUGAGUAGUUCUUAUAGCUCAAGUCUCUUGUUGACACAAAUUCUAUCUUCGUUCUUGAUUUUAUUCAUAUAUUUUGCCUUGAAUCCUGAGAAUUUUAUCCCUAUAUCCAGGUCAAACCUUUCCUACUUCAAUCCCUAAACCAUUCUCACCUCUUCCCACCUUGCAAACUUUUCCUGAGGCAUAAAGGCCCUAAAAUGCUACUUAAUAGGACUGCCAGGAUUAGAGCACUGCAAACUGCAGUACUUCUUUGUUCUUUCACUUUGUGACUGAACCUCAAAUCUAAAAUAAACAUUCAAUGAUAUCUGUAGCUGUUGCAUCUGAAUACACCACUUUCUCACUCUUAUUUCCUUUUCAAACAUUACUGUAACCAGUCCUCUACGUUCCUGCUAAAUCCCUUGCCUAUCUUGAACUUAAAUCUACUUGUUUUGCCUAAAAGUUGAAGACAUCAUUGCUAGCAUCAGUCGGCAAAGUUGAAAAAGAAAAUUGUGUUGAUUUCUAGACUGUCUUUGUAAUUUGUGUAAAUUAAUUCAUGUGUUUCUCACUCCUCUCGGUUGCCAUUGUAAAGUGCAAUAACUUGGAGUUUAAAUCUUAAUAAGCUAAUGUCAACGUUACAAUUUUAUAUAUUAUGGCUUUGGUUACUCAAUAUAUUCCGAUACACUAAUUUAUUUGUGUACCAGGGGAUCUUACCUAUCACGAGUUUUGUAGGGCAUAGCUUUGUUAGUAUUCCUCGGUGAAUCUUGUAGGUUUUCCUAUGUUAUGUAUGAUAUAAUUUCUCUGUCAAUUAGAGAUUCUUUUGGAGAUAUUCUUUCUAGGUUUUCUAAAAGGUGCCCAGCUGCACAUGAUUUCAUUUUCCUUGAACUUUUCAGAUUUAAUCAUAGAUCAAAGAAAGCACUAUAUAUAUAAUGCUAAACCAAAUCUACACUUUUCUUUUUUUAGUUAAAAGUAAAAAAUGCCAGCUCACUGUCCUAAUUUCACAAACACACUGAAUAAUUGAAAAUCUCUUGGAUAUUCAUCGCAAAUUCAGAAAACCCUAUGUGCCAAAUGCUUUUUAAUGUUCAUACAUUAAGUGUGGAGAAAAUUAAAUGUUGAUUUUGAUAAUCGAGUUCAUUGGUAUAAAAUGGUCCUAAAGGCUAGACUCUACAGUAGUUUUACGAAGUAUUCAACUACAAUUAGUUGGUUCCUUCCUUAUUUUCAUCAUGCUUUCUAUUUUGUUCUCAUUUUUCCUAAAUAGAGGACAAUUCUUCAUGGAAAGUGACUUCUAAACAUGUAAUUGUUGGAGCAGUAAACAUUAGUGAAAGAGACACUGCAUGGAUACAAGAGGGACUGACACAUGCAGUCUCCAGAGUAGGUUUCCAAACUAGCAUAUUUCUCCUAGCUUUUUUGAAUGUAUUGCUGCAACGAUCAUAUUAAUAUAUUUGCUUCCUUUUCCAUCAAAUAACUUGUAUUUUGUUUGUGCUAUCUUAUUUGAAAUCGAUAAUUGCUAACCUACUGCUGUAAUAGUCAUAUUCAUGAUCCCUUUACUUUCUUGUCCAUCUUAUAUGUUACAUCUAAGAAUUCCAGUAUUUUGUUUCUGAUGAAAAUUUUCUCAUGAUACAGAUUAUAAAUGUCUACAAUCAAGAAUAUGAAAGUGGGGCAGCAUUUUGGCCCGAUGUUCAUCGCCGCAUUAUUACUGCUCUAAUUAUUUCCCAGCUGCUUCUACUUGGUCUUUUAAGUACAAAGCAUGCUGUAAAUUCAACACCUUUGCUACUAGUUCUUCCUGUGUUGACUAUAUGGUUUCAUAGGUUCUGCAAGAAUCGAUAUGAACCUGCAUUUGUUAAAUUUCCACUCCAGGUAAUCCUUUAUUCAUUUUUUUGUAAAUUAUGUGGAUCUUGUUCCAUAUCUCGUUUCCGCAGCUUAUUUUGAGUUGAAAACACAUGGCACAAUUUAAGAUUAUCAAAUUGUGUAGAAUCUUAGUAUAGGUGGUAAAAUUGUAGUGCUAAUUAGAAACUACGAGAUUGAAGUUUCUUUAAGCAGAACUUGCUCUAACCAUUACACAUCAUCUCCAUUUACAGUGUAAUCUCACAUGGCUUUUGAAGUCAUGGGAAAAAUGUUAUCCAUGUAAUGUUGAGCCUUGAGAAUGACAUAAAUUUUGGUAUUCGUGCAUAAAAUAAUUGAGACUAAUCCAAAAAUAAUAUCUAUAUAUACAUUCUUGAUGCCAAUUGAAAAACUAAUGUUUGAAAUGUUGCCGAUGUGAAACCCAAUAUGUUGUGGCACUUGCUAUUUCUAUGGUGCAAUAUGGAUCCAUGCAGACACAAGUAAGAUGCAUGAUAAAGGAAAAGGAAAAAUGAAAACAAAAAGAAAAAGAAGAUGAAAGUUAAGUAAACGAAUGAAAAUGUACUAACCUGUUCUUAGCCUUCUUUGACAUAAUCUCUAAUGACGAAUCACUCCCUAGGUGAAUCUUACUGUAGAUAGGGUUGAUUACCCCCUUCUCGUGAAAUAAUUGAUACAUUGAGCUUGUUGUUUCUUUAACUAGUUUAUAAAAAAAAUGUCACCCUCUCUAAUAUUUUCAGUGGACUACAUUCCCUAAAUGAUCCUUGGAAAACCAAAAAAAAGGAAAAAGAAAGGCAUAUGGUUACUCUCAAAAAAGGGUGGUUACGUGCCAUCCGGUAUGGGUGGCUCAUGCAAAAUUACAAAACUUGAUCCAAGGAAUUUAAAUUCAGUUACUCUGUCUCUGUCCAUAGCCAUAUCAGUAUUGGUCUGUUCGGUUCCAACACACUAUGUCUGAACAUACCAUGAUAAUGUUAUGGGAGCAAUAGGAGGGGAGGAAGCAGCGAUUUUAAAAGGCGCUCGGGCGCUCGUCUAGGCGCUCGGGCGAGGCAAGGCGAGGCCCGAGCGCCUCGCUAAUCUCCCAAGCAGCGCGCUUCAAACAAGCGCCGCCUAGGCGCUUCGGGCGAGCGUCCGGGUUAACCAAGGUGACCGAACCAGGAUUUUAGGUCUGGUUCGGUCCUGGUUCGGUCUAUGAUGGUUAGUUGGUUCAAUCAAACCAACUAAAACUGAUAUAAGUGACAACCGAACCCUAACCCUCGUCGCUGCCGAUCCCGUUGCUCGCAAACGCUGUCGCUGCUCGCAAAUGCUGCCGCUCGCGCCUCCCGCUGCUCGCCACUCCUGCUCCCGCUGCCGCUGCUCGCAAACAUUACCGUUGUCGCCGCUCGCGCCUCCCGCUGCUCGCUGCUGCCGCCGCUCGCCGCUACCGCUUCCUCUUUUCUCAGUCAGCAGGCUCAGCACCCCUUUACACUUCCUUUUAACAGUAUACGUAUACUAUAUACUGUUAAUAUUAUUAAGUUUAUUUGAAAUAAUUAAUUUUCAAUACUAUUAAUAGAUUAAUAAUAUAUUAUUUUGAUUUUAAUACUGUUAAUUUUUAUUUAUUUGAAACUUUUUGUUAAUGUGACAUUGUGAUUUUGUAUCUUAGAUUUUCUUAAUUUAAUAGUAUAUUUUUAUUUAAAAUUUUAAAUAAUUAUAUUUAUUAAUUAUAUUAUAUAUUUUUAUAUUUUAGCGUCUCGCUUCGCUCGAGCGAGCGCCUAGCACCUCGGGCGUUUUUGAACCUUGACGCCUUUUGGCGCCUAGCGCUUUUUAAAUCAUUGGGAGAAAUUUAAAGAAGAAGAAAAAGAAAGGAAGAAGAGGAGGUCUAUUGGAGUGGACGGUGGGAGUGCUUGCAGCAACAGGCAACUGACAACAGGUGUGCGAGUGGUGAUGGGCGGAGAGCAGACUCGAGACUCUUUGCAAGAAGUUGCAUUGCAGCCCUACAUCACGAACUAGACUGGACCACUGUGAACUGGUUAUAGUUAUAUAAAGUAUAAAGGAAUGAAAUUAUUAUUAUUUUACCUAUCAUGUGAAGCUUCAUGUACAUUUGAGUAUCAUAUAUCCAAUCAAUGAUAUUGGGGAAGACCUUAGAUCUAGGUGUCCCGCCCUAAUUUGCUUGGAGUUAAUAUAAAGGGGUAAGUGUAGCCAUUUAUGGCACCUAUUCCAUGUGCUUAAUGAUAAUGAUUUCAACUAUUACAUCCUAGAAAUACGGAGGAUAAAGUAUGAUUCCGAUGAUACUUCUUUUAUAUAAGCCCUUAAAGUGAGAGCUAGACCAAUUACUUAAUGUAAACAUAUUAUUGAUUCUAUUUUUCUUGGCUAAAUGGAAUAUAAGGAGAUUAAGUAGUAAAUUGAGUGGUAUCAAGCCACAAAAUUUUCCCUUCCGUGAAUCUUUGAACAAGUAUGCAUCUAGUUAUCAUUAUAGGUGAAAUGAGUGACAUGUUGUGUCCAAAUCAGGGUUUUGAAUAAGGUAUGCAAUACCGUACCGUACCGGUGUUUCGAGGUUGGCUCGGUAUGGUAUGGUAUCGAUGUAUUGAGCGGUACACUAGGGUGUAUCGAGCGGUACACCCUAGUGUACCGAACAAUUUUAUAUAUUUUCUUCAUUACUGUAGUACUGCUACAGUAUAGCAUUGUAGCACUGUAGCGGUAUCGGGCGGUCCGUGUACCGGUAUGUCAUCGGACCGGUACGUACCGCCCGUACCGGGCAGUACCAUUCGGUACUGCAUACCAUGGUUUUGAAUACCGGUUCGUACCGAUGUACCGAGCAAAGCUCGGUACCAUACAUAUUGAUAUGUAUCGUCAAUACGCCAGGGUGUACCGACGAUGGUAUAUCCAAAAACCUUAAAAAUAUCUUUAUCUAUCACGCUAGGGCAUACCGAUCGGUAUGCCUUGGUAAUAGUCGAAAUCCGAGACGGUACCUGUUGGUACACCUUGGUGCCGCCCGAUGGAGGGCAGUCCGCAUAUCAAUAUCCUCUCGAUACAUAGCGCCCGUACCGGACGGUACACAUCGAAAUUAAGAAUCCUAGUCCAAAUUGCUAUCCUCUUCAAGGUAGGAUAUUGCCAGUGUCUUUGUCUAGAAAAGAUACAAAUGUUCACCAACUAUUUAUUGGCCUUCUUGAAAUUAGUGUUAUUUUUAGACAUCACUUAUAUAAUAUUAGUUCUCUCCAAUAUCAUCAAUUACAGUGUCCAUCAGAUCCUAUAUGUAUCCUUGGAUGUUAAAUUUGAUUAUGAUGCAUCAAUGAACCUGCUGUUGCAUGUGUAGGUAUUGUUAAGGGCCCACUACUUGAAGAUUUUGAUCCUUCUGUGAAUUUACUCGACCUCAUCAUCAAGAUACACCUUAGUGAUCUCAUAUGAAGGAAGAGGUUGUAUCUUGGGUUCAUGUUUCUAAGUGGUUUACAUGAUGAAUCUGUAAUUCACAUCCUGAGCUAGGAUGGGUGAUAGAUGCAGUUGAAAUUGUACAAGCAGUGGUUGCCUUACCUAUAUCCUCUUUUUCUUAUAAUAGUCAUGGUCCAUUUGCAAUCUGAAAGGGGAAUGCCAUGGGAUCAAGAUCAAACAUCAGACAUCAAUCUCUUAUCGAAAAACUAAAGAAACACAAAAAAAAAACUAAAGAAACACUUGAUGCCCCUUCUUCGGGUUGGGAUGGUGCUCAUCCUAGCACUUGUGCCAUAAUAGAAAUGCAUCAUGGUCCAUUCCCAAUCUAAAAGGGGAAUGCCAUGGGAUCAAGAUCAAAUAUCAGCCGUCAAUCUCUUAUCGAAAAACUGUAGAAACUCUUGAUGCCUCCUUCUUGGGGUUGGGAUGGUGCUAGUCACCUCAUACUAGCACUUGUGCCUAUCUCAUGAGCAUCGCAUGCUAAAUCAUCACUAGCUUGUCUGAUACUAAAAGACUUGUUGAACUAGGAUGGACUAGCAACACUAGCAUUGCCACCGCUAUUUCCAUGCUUGAAUUGAGAUGGAUCGACCUAAUGUUUGUAUCUUAUAUUCUUGUGCAUAUGAGAUUACUCCAAACAUCGUAAAUAUUACUUGUGUACCUUUGGAUUUUCCUAGCAUCCAACUAUGCCUUCAAAAGCUUGUUCAAUUUUUAAAGGGCUCUUGUUUAUAUGGCAACACCAGGAAUUCCACUAGUCAAAUGUUAUUGUAGCCUUAUUCCUCUGCCAUGACCAAUAUAUUCGAAGUGUAUGUAUUGGCAAUCAUGGUGACACUUCAAGUGAUGGCCACUCUAGCUUAAUAUAUAGCUUUGAUACUGUUAUUUUCAUACAAACAUUAACAACUAAUUCAGGUAUAAAAUUCCAAAAAUGUACAUUUUAGUGGAAAUUCGAUCUAGACUGACAGAAAUGUAGAUUAGAUUAUCAUUUUUGGUUAAUAGCAUAGCCUGCAUCCAUACUUGGACGCUGAAUUGAUUCUAUGGGAUAACCAUUCUACUUUAUGUUGCUAGAGUAGAUUUAAAAUGAAAAAUCAGGCAUAUGUUAGUAUGAUUGUCCUCUUACAUCUUGUGCUCUUUCACUUGCAGGAAGCAAUGAUGAAAGAUACAUUAGAGCAUGCCAGGGAACCUAACCUAGACUUGCGAGCAUACCUCCUGAAUACAUAUGUACACCCAGUAUUUAAAGAUGGUGAGGAUGACGAUAGCUUUUCGGAUGAUGGGGAACAAGAAUGUGAGAAUGUCUUAGUGCCCACGAAGCGCCAAUCCCGGAAGAACACACCAGUUCCCAGUAAAUAUAAUGGUUCAUCUUCUCCUUCUCUUCCCGACAUCGCCAAAGAAGAGCUAUAAUAUAUAAUGGAUAUGCACUCCUAAUUCCCCUGUACAUUAGCAUCACGAGGAGUGAAUUGAAGGGGUGUGAUAUAUUUGAUCUCCUCAAUUUGAUAUGCUGAAGAUAGAUCUAACUCAAUGCACACUGUGGAUUCAGCUACUCAGAUCAGGAUGGAUAUGGACACUUCACUCGUUCACAAAAGUUAUGUUAUCAUGUGGUUAAUCUUCACUUCAAACACAGCUUUACAAAGGUCUCCUGUUGUAAUUGGCCCAUUUGUUUCAGUAGCAUGGCUUGCUUUCAACCAAGUCAAAGUCAUCCGAUUUAUCUUUCUAUCACAAACUCUAAUACUAUGUUGGAUUUUUUUUCGAUGAAUACAGACUCGAACAAAAUUGUGGACACUCGACUAGUAUAAUAAGAUGAUGGUUUCAAAUCCUUAAUUUCUGCUAAUAUAUAUAGUGUUGCCACAUGUCCAUAUUAGUGGUAAUUCUUCACUAUAAUUUGUUUUUUCUCUUUUGGGUGGUGUUAAGUUAGAUUUAGGUUCUUCCACGUGGAUGUUGAUUUGGUUCGAAUCUAUGUACUCUUUUUGCAUCUGAGUGAGAUGGUGUUGGGUGAGGGAAAAGUUCAAAGUUAAGACUUAGCAAAACUGCAUUGAGGACAUACUUGACAAGGUUUAUUCGAUACUUAAGUUAAUGUUUUAUUCAGAGGAUUUGAUCAUUAUCAAAUCUAUAUGGAUUUAAGCGUCAUGGAAUAGUUCAGAUGUCAAAGAAUAGUUCAGAUGUCAAAGAAUAUACCUGAGGGGUCUUUUUAUUAGUACGGUAUGAGAAUGUUGUAUUGGAUGUCAAGAUAAAAUGUCAAAAAUAAUUAUGCAUUUUUUUCGAUCAUACGGGAAAAAUCGAUGGAAUCAACUUUUCAUUUAUAUGACAUGGCUAAUUCCGUAAGGUCGAGUUGUCUGUUCGAUGAGGGGUGAGAUAUUGAUGAGGUGUCGAUCGAAAUAUUGAUGAGGUGUCGAUAACUAUGUAUGUGUCACAAUCUAUCUAUAUAUUGAAGUUAUUUUGUAUUUGGGCUUCUUUUCAAAAGAAGUUAUAGGUUUGCAUUUUCUAAAAUCAAAUCAGUAAGUUCAUCACCCUAACCAUCCAAGUUUUUUAGCAAUUAACAAAAAGAAUAAGAACAGAAUAAUCUUUGCCAUCAUAAUACAAAAUAAUUAGUUAAUUUUUUUAUAAUCUAAGAUUAAUUAUAUAUGAUCGUCUGUAAUUAGUUACUUUUAGUAUCUCGAUCUUUAUAUUUUUAAAAGUUAGUUCCAACAAAAUCUCUCUUUAUAUUUUUAAUUCUAUAAAAUUAUAUUUUUAAUCGUAUAGAGAUCUCGAUAUUUUAAUUUCAUAAGUAUAAAAAUCUCAAUAUAAUUUUUAAAAAUAUACGGAUCAAAAUAUUAAAAAUAAAAAUAACUUAGUAAUUAGUCGCUUCCCAAUCAAAGACGGAUGGAGAGAGAGAGAGAGAGCUAUUUGUAGCAAUGCUACACCAAAUCCGAGGUUUGCUGGGUUGACCAAAUCUGUGGCAGGAGUGGACGAAGAACAUCCAUACUCCAUGUUUCCCUCGCAUCCUUUCUGUCUGCCGCAUUGGUCGAAGGUAAGAGUCGUGGCACAUGAACGAUCGAUCGCCUUUGUCUUUUUAUUUGCAGGUUUCCCUUCUUUCUUUCCCAUCCUUCUCCUCUUCGCUACAAUAAUUCUCACCACCCGGUGGGAGCGAAAAGCAGAGGAAGGGAUCGAAGGACAGCGCGGCAAAGACGGGGAGGUAAUUAAUUAGUAAGGGAUGGAUGAUAGGACCGAAUCUAUUUGUUAGGUUUGCGUUCGUUGAUUCAUUCAGGUAUAGAUCUUGCAGCAACAGUGGAAGCCAUGGGUGAAGAUGAUGAGAAGCAGUCAGAGAAGAGGUACAUUUCCUCGGAGGAGCUCCGGUUGCACAACACGCCUUCGGACCUGUGGAUCUCGAUCCAAGGUAAGGUCUACGACGCUACCCACUGGGUGAAGGACCACCCGGGCGGCGAGCUCCCUCUGUUCAACCUCGCCGGUCAAGACGUCACCGAUGCCUUCGUCGCUUACCACCCGGGCACCGCUUGGUCCCUCCUCGAUCGCCUUCCCCUGGUCGGCUACCUCUCCGACUACCGAGUCUCCGACGUGUCCAAGGACUACCGACGCCUGAUCACCGAUAUCUCCAAGAAGGGCCUCUUCGACAAGAAGGGUCACAUAACCUUCAUCGUCCUUUGCCAUAUGUGCCUCAUGUUCGCCGCCGUCGUGUACGGCGUCGUCUGCUCUCCCAGCGUGUGGGUCCAUCUCGGCUGCGCGGUCGUGCUGGGGUUCCUGUGGAUGCAGUCGGGGUUCCUUGGACACGACUCCGGCCACUACCGUAUCUUGAGCGGCCCUCUGGUGAAUCGCAUCAUGCAAGUGGUCACCGGGAACUGCCUCGCCGGAAUAAGCAUCGAAUGGUGGAAGCGGAACCACAACGCUCACCACAUCGCGUGCAACAGCCUCGAGUUCGACCCCGACGUGCAGCACAUCCCCGUCCUCGCCGUCUCCUCCGAGUUAUUCCGCGGCCUCACGUCCUACUUCUACGAGCGGAAGAUGAGCUUCGACGGGGUGGCGAGGUUGCUGGUGAGCUACCAGCACUGGACGUUCUACCCGGUGAUGUGCGUGGCGAGGUUGAAUCUCUUCGCGCAGUCGGUGCUGUUGCUGCUGUCGAACAAGAGGGUGCAGGGGAGGAGCAUGGAGUUGGUGGGGUUGGGGGUGUUCUGGGUCUGGUUCCCGCUGCUCGUCUCCUACCUGCCGAGCUGGGGCGAGAGGGUGAUGUUCGUGGUGGCCAGCUUCGCGGUGACCGGGAUCCAGCACGUGCAGUUCUGCUUGAACCACUUCUCCUCCAGCGUCUACGUCGGGCCGCCGCGGGGGAACGACUGGUUCGAGAAGCAGACGAUGGGGACGCUGGACAUCACCUGCGAGCCCUGGAUGGAUUGGUUCCACGGGGGGCUGCAGUUCCAGGUGGAGCACCACCUGUUCCCGCGGCUGCCGCGGUGCCAGCUACGGCGGAUCGCGCCCCUGGUGCGGGAGCUCUGCAAGAAGCACGGCCUUCCGUACGAUAACUUCUCCUUCUGGGAGGCCAACGUGAGGACCAUCAGGACGCUGAGGACGGCGGCUUUGCAGGCGAGGGACUUGGCCAAUCCGGUCCCCAAGAACUUGGUGUGGGAGGCGGUGAACACCCACGGAUGACCAACGUCUUCGGCCCACUUCCUCCGACUCCGUCUUCCCUUUCCUACACGGCUUUUCUUGCCCAAGGGAAAAGGAAAUCCAGGAAAGAAGGAAGAACAUAUCAUCAUCCGCAUAUAGAUAGGGUGUCUAUGGGAUUCUCCAUCCAUCUUUGUCGUGUGAUUCUGCAUUCGAUCGAAUUGAUGUUUCUUCUGUCUACAUUUUUCAUAUGAGAGAAGAAAAAGAGUCUGAUAGCAUGAAAAGCUCCGAUGCAGAGAGAGAGAACAAAAUGGUGGCAGUCUGCAUUAUAUGUAGCCUCUGUUAGGCCAACAAGAAAAAUGCUAAUAAAUACUGUAUUAAUACGUCAUUAAUUAUUAAUCAAAUUUACAGACACAUUAUUACCAAUUAAAAUUAUAUUGAAUACGUCUAUACUGUUUAUUAUCAACCUUGUCGGUCAUUGGUGUGAUCCAUAAACUUACAAGAAAUUAUUCGUUUUCGGUUAUGCGCGUAUCGACUUACUUACGAGUCUUUGGUUUUCGUACUCCUAAAUCAAUGUGAGACUAAAUAUCUUUAUGAUAUAGUAUAAGAAAUAAAAAUCAUGUAAUUGUAAGCACAAUUUAUUGAGCAGGAAUCAAGUUUUAUGGCCAAACCCAGCAGAGUUCCUUCUGGUUUCCUUUCUGUUUCAGCUCUCCUCCAUGUCGUCUCCUACCUUUCUCCCAUCUCUUGGAUCGAAGUCUAAUUAGCUGUGUGUGGUCGGAGUAAUCAUAUGCAUCCAAACGUUGCUUUAUGUAAAGCUAUUAUUGGCUUUGGUAUAGGAGACACUAACAGACGAACAUAAAUAAGAGACUCGGCAUUCGCUGCUCGUCUACGCUACGAGCGGGGGCGGCGCUUGAGGGGGUGCUUCGUAAAUUACCACUCGAUUUCCGGCAGGCGACGGUGGCACGUAAGGCCUCCUCGAGGCUUGAGACGCUGUCAUGGUAGUGGGGCUUGGGAUGGGAUCGUCCGACUCCCCGCAUCGUCCAGCUCUGGCUAAUGCCUUCCUGGGAGUACCUGCAAGAUCGCAGCAUCCAAACCUUGCUUUCAGAACACGAAUCUGUAGAUCUAACAUCGACCGGAAGAAAUCUAGUUUUUGCCUCGGAAAAGGAGGAGACAAAAGAAGGAAGAAAUUGGAGUGCUGAGUGUAUGCGCACAGGAGAAGGAGAUGGGAGGAUGGCAUCCGAGCAGGAGGAUGGUGAGAAGAAUGACGACGACGAUCUGUUUCGUGGAUUCAGCCAUAGCAACAAGAGGCAGAAAGAAAGAUAGAUCGAGCGAUCGAUCGAUCUCUAUACUUGAUAUCGGUCGAAGGAGAUAAUUGGAAUGGAUGAUUGAAUUGGAUGGUUCUUGUGAAGACCGCCAGCUCACUGUCUCUCGGAAGCUGGUGAGACGGCCGCAAUUGAAGAAACUGGAGGUCGUUGACUUUGACUUUGACGUUGACUUCCAGUAAACAGGUUGGCAUGGGAGAUGGGAACCAUAUAUCAACUAGAGGAUGGAAGGACAUUAAGGUCUUGCCAAAUUGGUAGCAGUCACUAUUUGAUUUUGGUCUGAAUAUAUCUUUAUCUUACAAUAAUAAAAAAUUUAUUGUGGAUUUAUAUAACUAUCGUUAAAAAUAAUAAUUUAUAUAACAAUAAAAAUUAUCAUCCCAAGAGUUAAUAAUCGUUAUGCCGAUCACCUCGAUAAUUAUUAUACCACAUCGAAUAUAACGAGGAUAUUAUCAUAUCAUCAGUCGCCUCAAUGAUUAUUUUGACUAACUUGACGAUUUUUUUUUCUAAAUAAUUAUAUUUUAAAUCGUAAACGAUUAGAAACUCAUGACUAUAAAUAGUUAUUCAUCUUAUUUCUCAUAAUCUUUUCGAAUCCUAAAAUUAUUUUAGUUCGGACACGUUACUAACUUGAGCAACGAAGAAAUCAAGAACACUGAUUUUGAUGAAAAACACUCUUUUGAAGGCCGUGGUCACUACAAAACAGUCCACAGCUUCUCACUGUGUUAUUAUCAUCAAGCAUAGUUGACAUACAUAUGUAUACAUACAUCACAACUGGUACGGACCUGUUAGAUAAUACAUUGAGCAGCAGAAAUAUCUAUAAGGUUAAUCGACAGAACCAUGAGCAACAUUGUAGCAGUGGAUGUGGCGUCAAUUAUUGAUGAGCUUGUAAGGAGGCUUGUUGAGAGCUGGGGAAGGAUCAUAUGCUCCAUAGUCAUUGGUCUUAACAUUAUCCUUGGAUGAACUCUGCAUGUGUAUAUAGAUAUGAUCACAGUAAGUUCUAGAGUUAAUAAUAUAUACAAGUCAGACACCAAUUUAAUCUAAAU
rnacentral:lncRNA from 1 species